UUUUUUUUUUUUUUUUUUUUUUUGUGGAAGGGGAAAAGAGGGUUUGGCCAUUCUAGUAGUACAAAAAGGUGACUGAGUUUAUAAGGACCCUUAAUUUGUUUAAUUAAUUUCUAGGAUGUGUCCACUGUCCAGAGUCCUUAAAGUAUUGGACCAGACAUAGAGCCAUCACCAAAUCAAAUAUUUCAUCAUUUAUGUCACAAUCUCGGAGUACUAUUUUGUGCUUAACCACGUAAUAGUUAGUGACCUGCAGAUCAAAUGGAGUUGGUAGCAUAUUUUUAUAUGAUCCAAUGCAUGAUAAUAAAUCCGAGGAUAAAGCAUAUACCUUUUGCGAAGUUUAUCCUUUGAUCUAGUUAUUAAAGUCAUCAAUAAGGACAAGUGAUGAGUAUUUGUUACUAACAAAGGAAUUAUAUAUCUCUCUACUUUUUGUAUCUUUCAAGGUAACUCAAUCUCCAAACUUUGUUACUAAAUAUGAGACUCUUCCCACAAGUAAUAUAUAAUUAGAAUGUGAAGUAACAUAUAAAAAAUCUUAGGGUGCGUUAACUAUGAAAACUGAAAUCUGAAUUCAUUAAGUCGUUGAAUUGUUAAGUACUGAACAUUAACUGAUAAGUAAAUAGCUUAUCAUUUAUUUUUAGAAGCAAAUUUUGUCUAAAAUAUUCAGUGCCACCUAAGUAAUUCAAAUGAUCAAUUUUUGGUUAUCAAACGCGUCUGAAUAUGUUAAGAUUCGAAUCCAUUAAUUGCUAAAUUAAAUAAUCAAAUAGGAUCCUAGUUAAAGAACAUUUUUCGUAGAACCAAAAGGUAGACAAGAAAUAUCGUCCAACAAAUUUGCUCAACUCAUUUGAUAGUAAAACGUUUAGAAAAGUCCAAAUUAAAUCUGCCAAACCAAUUUCGUCCAGGCACUAUAGUAAUGCACGGAAUUUCUAGAUACACUUCAUUUAAAAUUUAGAGUAAAUGUUAUAUAUAUAGGGAAAAUAGCCAAUUUCAUCCCUAAACUUUUUACCAGUGUUGAUUUACUACCUAACUUUUAUUCCUAACCAAUUUGAUAUGUGAACUUAUUUUGCAGUUCCAAUUAAGGACUUUUGUGGUAGCUUCACCACCUAAAACUAAUAUGGCUCUUUAUUGAUCAACUAAACAAGGGUAUAUUGGGAAAAUCACUUAUGGGGCUAUAAUAAAUCAAGUAAAUUGUGUAAAAAAUCACAAUAUUAAAAUUUUAAAAAGUUUUACCUAGUGAUUUUUUACACGAUUUACAAGUUUUAUUUGGUGAUUUUUUAUACAUUUUACUUGUUUUAUUACAGUCUCGUGAUAAUACUCUUGUUUAAUUAGUCAAUUAGGAGCCAGAUCAGUUUUAGGGUAGUGGUGCCACUACGAAGGUCCUUCAUUGGAACUACGAAAUAAGUUCAAGUAUCAAAUUAGUCAGAAAUAAAAGUUUGGGAAUAAAUCGACACUAACAAAAAAUUUAGGGACGAAAUUAACCAUUUUUUCAUAUAUAUAUUGUCAGUCAAUGUAUACAUUAUCACAGUUAGAUGAAUGGCACAUAAGUUAAAUUUGAAUUUUAAAUUCAUGUCAGGUUUAGUUGUCAUGUAUCUAAUAUUAAUAGUUCAUAUACUGUCAGUGUAUAUAAAAUUAAUCCUAAAAUUUAUAAUAUCAACUAGACAAAUGCAACAUUCCAAAUUUCUAACUUUGCCCUCAUUGAAAACGAUAAAUUCUCUAUGUGUCAAAACCGAUGUUUAAGCUAUACUGAACUUGUCUCUAGAUCAUAUAUUAAGCUAUAUAAUGUAAUUUUUAUAUUUUGUAACUCUAUUAAAUCUAAUAAUGUUUUAGAUCAAAUAACAUGUUCUAUGUAUUUUCUGUCAUUAAUACAACUAUCUUUAUUAAACAAAUCGUGAUAGACGAUUUUCAUCUGGUUUAUUAAUGGAUUUUUCUAACAAAUGCCCACUGGGCACUCACUAACUCAUCUAACAUUUACCUAACCUAUCAUAUAAAUACACAUACUAACAAUUAUUACUGUCUCUUACAUUUACAUACUUUUCUUAUUUAAUCUUACUUAUCCUCUCUUAUAUUCAUUUACUUUCUCUAAUUAAUUUUACAUUUCCAAAGAUAUGACACUUGAAAUAUAUCUUAACAAGUAUCCUAUAGGCACCCAUUAGACAGAUCAUUUAUUAAUAAUAUUGGCUUCUAUUUUAUAAAAAAAAAAAUUGUAUCCAAGCAUUAACUAAUGUCCAAAAAAAAUUCCAAAUUGUACCAUAUAUAUAAUAAAACAGAGCCAAUAACAAGAUGCUACCAAAAGAUGCCUGCGUUACCAAAGAAACGACUUGACUUCUCCUAUAAAAAUAACGAGACCUGAAUUCUAAUUAAAGUUGGAGAUUAUCCAAUUAAUUGGACUGAAAAUCCUUUUUGCAUAUUAACAAUUUCUGCCCUUGGAAUUGCGAUUCCCUAUUUCCUUUUGUGACACUGUUUUUCAAAGAAACUAAGAUGGCAUUAUGAGUUCAGAAAGGAGGAAAAUUUAGGGGUGGCAACCCAUUGCCUAUUAAUUAUCCCCAUCCCCUGCCCCUGACUUCCCCGUCCCGCCCCGAUUCCCCGCAGGGGCACUCGCGGGUUAAAAAAAAUUUAUUAUAUAAUUUAUUAUAAUUAAAUUUGAGCAAAUAAUUAAGUACUAAAAUAUCCAUACAUCACCAAAUUAUUAUUUAUUGUAACUUCACAAUUGAAACUCAUAAAAAAAUUAAACAAAAGUUAUUUGAAUACAAUCUAAUAUAAAAAAAUAUAUAACUAAAAUAAUCAAGUUUUCACUUUUGAUACAAAUACAAUCACUAAAUUAUUAUUGUGUUUUUUUAGAAAAAUUGUUAUUGCAUUAAGUGUAGUUAGAAAUUUAAUAUAAAUGUAUUAAUAAAUUUAGUAUAAAUAAUUAAUAAUUUUUCUUAAUAAACAUAUAUAAUUAGUAGUAUAAUUGAUAAUAUUAUUAUAUAUAUAAUUAUAUACAUAUAUAUAUUUUGUUUCAAACGGGUGGCGGGGCGGGGGAAUAUACCCCCCCCCCCCCCGCCUCGUUUCAAAAUAGGGGGAAAAUUUCCCCCCGCCCCAAUAGUCCCCGAGGGGCACCCAUUGCCACCCCUGGAGGAAAUGCAGGGUAGAAAACAAGAAUUCAUGGGCCUAUAGUCAUUUUCUAUUUUGAUAAAAUGAGUGAUUAACAUCACUAUGGAGAUAUAGUUGAUUAUUUAGUGGUCAUAUAGAUAAUACUGGAUUGGUGAAAUAUUAGCUAUAUAUCAAAUGUAAUGAAAUUACCACUCAGUUAUCAAAUAUUGAUUUAAUGAUCACGUUAAUAACAUGUAUUAAGUCAAAGAUCAAUAGCAGAUUACUUGAGAGAUAUCCACACACGCGUAUUCUGAAGAACAUUAUAAGACCUCACUUUUGGUAUCAUAUGCAUCAAAUUUGACAUUGGAAGGUAUAUACUAGAUAUGUGUGUACACACACAGACACAUGGAUGCACGCACACACACACAUACAUACAUAAAAAUAUAGACAUAUAUACAUACAUAAAUACAUAUGUGUGUGUGUAUGCAUAUAUAUUUUUUAAUUAAGCAUUUCUUCUACUAAAUAGAACCCAAUUAGAUGCAUGUUGAAAUAUAUGUAUGUGUAUAUGUGUAUGUAUCUAUGUAUUUUCUAGUAAAGUAUUUCUUCUACUAAAUAGAAGCCCACUAGAUGCUUCACUGUCACUCACUCUUGAAAUUAUACUAGACCAAACUGGUUCAUUUUGUGAAUGAAAACCCUGUGUCCAUGAACCAUACCUUUAAUCAAUUAAAUUUGACAUCUGCUACUUCAAAGCCAUUUUCUGCUUCUUUGAUGGAGGAAUAAAACUAAAAAUAACUGGAAUUCCACUUCUGGAUAAUGACAGAUAAAAGUGGAAGGCUGGUGCGACAAAUCGAUGCUGAACAUAAUUGAUCAGAUUUCAUUCUCACGAGUGUUUUCGCUUUAUAAGAUACUACUGCCCCAUGUGUUUAUUAAAAAGAUCAUUGUCACCCUUAGAAUUCAGAACUGUGAAUCCGCAGGUGAUUUGACAUAUGCGGGCUUAUAGUUGAUAGGCAUGGCCAUUAAUAGGAUUUUCUUGAAGGUUUGGAUCAACAUUUGAAAAGGGUUUUACCUCUGUAGUAACAUGUAUCAUACUCUAAUCCUAAGAAAAAGAGAUUUUUUUUUUUUUUUCUGUUUUCUUGAAUAAAAUUGUUACAAGGGAGGGGCAAGUAAUAGAGGGCAGAAGAAUUGAACCUUGUUCAGGGAUGAAACGUAAAGGCUCUUUAAUAUAUUCGACUCCCAAUAUGAUAUCUUGGUACAUAUGCUGUACAACCAAAUCAUACAAGUUGUUAACACUUUAAGCAUGAACUUUGAGUGUGUGUGUGUGUGUGUGUUAAAAUUGGAGAUUGCAGCUCUAAGUUUUGCUAUUAAGUGAAUGACUAUUCCAAUAAGAUAUAUCGAACGUAGAGUUGAUAUCUUGCGUGAGUUUACUACUACUACUUCCCUGCUUCCACUAAUUGAGUUAAUACAUAUGCUUGAAAACUGCAAUCAACAAAAAUUUGCUAAACUGCUAUUUGUACCUCGUGUCAUAAUAUGUACAAGUAAGCUUAAAAGUUCUUCGCACAAGGACUGAUUCCUAGGAUAAAAUUUCAUUUGAGAUUUAGCCAAUUAAAGGGAAAAAAGUUUUAAAAAAUGAAGAAAAAAAAACUUUCGAGAUGUUAACUUUUUAUGGUUCAUCACAACAGUUCAUUCUCUUUAAAGGUAAAUAUGAGGGGGAAAACGAAGAGAAGAGAAGUAAAUUAUAUCUAUCUAAAUCCAAAAAUGGAUGUGAAAAAAAGGAAAGAAGCGUCCAUGGUAAAAGCAGCCAAUAGUUGAUUAGUGCAUGCACCUUUCAACUCAUGGAACAUGGGUUUUAGAUGGCCUAAAGGGUAGAGAUGGUAAUUUUCGACACAACUCGAAAACACGACACGAAUCUAAUAUGAAAUUAAUGGGUUUGGGUUGAGGUUACGGGAGUUCGGGUCAGAAUUGGAUUGAACCCGAAAAGAAAACAGGUCGAUUUCGGGUCAAUCCGUGGUGACCUGAUAUGGCUCGAUAUGACUCGUUUACGAAUUAAAAAUAAUUUAAUAAACAUAAAAUAAUUUUAUCUAACUAAACUAAGUUAAUCUUUUUUUUCAAAGGCAUUAAUUACUUAAUCCUAAAUGAAUUUAUUUAAUUUGUAUGAAGUUGAAAUUAUUAUAUUUGGACAAAUAUUAUUUUUGCUUUUAUACUGUUUUAAUUUUUUUAUAUUUUGUUUGGGAUCAAACACUUUUACAGUGUUUAAUUUAUUUUAGAUUUGUUUGGAAUUAUUUAUUUAAAUUUUUAUUACUUGAUUAUGUAAUUAGUUUUGUGAGAAAUUGAUUUUAUUAGAAAUUACAGUGAUAAAUUAAUAAAUUAAAAUUAAGUUUCGGAUCAUUUCGCGAUCAGCCCGUCAAUCCGAAAUUUUCGAGGGGUCAACAUACCUGACCCGUCACGGGUUUGACGGGUCGAAUUCGAAUCAACAGAUUUUCUGACCCGACCCGCCAAUCUGAUUUGGAUCGAUUGCCAGCCCUACCUAAAGGUUGUCACAUCACGCGCACAAUGUCCUCUCAGGGUGCCAUGGGGCGCUGUUGUUCUCAUAUUCUUCUGAACAAUAAUUGCAUUUUAUCCAAAACUUAUCCUUAUUUAUUUGGGGGACCCUGUACUAGACACAACCCACUAAAUAAUCAAAUGUUAUUCCCUUUGAUAGGAUGCGUAAUUGUUGAUAAAUUUAUAAAUAUUUUUCCUUGAUUUUGGUCAAAUAUUGUAUUAAUUAGGUAGAUUUUACUCAUAUAGUUAGUUAUUAGUGUUAAUUGUAGAAAAGUGAAGCAAAAAAAUAGUUAACGGAGGCAAUUUUUCGGAAGAUCAUGAACCAGUUUGGCAUGGCGCGUUCAAGACAUGCUGUCAGGUCUGGAAGGCUCGGGAUUUUUCUUGCCCGUGGAGGUUUCUUAGUUCGAGUUGAACUCCGUGCAGAUUUUGACUGAAAAUUUAAAAAAUAUCUUUAUUAGUUAUAGUAUUUGAUUAGGAAACAAGGGAUAUUAUCUUUUGUAGUAAUUAGGAAAGGUGCUUUAUUUCUUUAAUAGGUACAAUUUAGGAGAUAAAAUAGGAAGAGGGUCCGCUGGCUAUAUUAGUAGACUAGUACUUCCGAGGAAAAACAAGGAACUUUGGCUCGUGAUUGAUUAGUCUUGGCAGGAACAAGAAACAAAAGGCUAUGUUCGUUUUUGGUUUCUUAUCGUCGAAUGUUCAUGAAACUUUUGUCAAUGAAAUUGUUUGAAUUAUUUCCAACGAUGAGCGGCUAAUUUCUUAUUCUAGUCAAAGGGUAACGAAGGAUUUAGUUCAACUACAACUGCAAGAUCUAAUUAUUCUUAUUUGUUUCUUUUAUUCGUUAAUAUUCGUUUAUUUUUCGAUUUAACUUCUCAUAACUGUUUUAUUGUUUGAAUAUUAAGGGUCCGGUAUUUAAUUCAACCUAACAAUUUAUUACCAAUUAAGACAGUUAAAUCCGUAAUUGUUUAAUUAUUUUAAAUUAGUGGCGACUAGCGUGAUUUGUUUCGUGUUAGAAAAACAUAUAGUCUAAUUUAAAUAAACCCUGAUAGCGUGCUUUAUUGAUCAGAACAAGGUUUUUUUAGUUUUUAAUACAAUCAAGAAAUUAAAUUUUAUGGGCGUACCUAGUAUUUUUUCUUAGUUAGGAGAAUAUUAACGGGUGUACCUUAAUUAUCGAAAAAGUAAGAAAAAAUUGAUUGUCAUCACUUGUUUGGCAAUUAUAACCUGUUUAUUAACAAAUAGAUGAAAUAAUUAUUGCAUCAAUGAACAGUUGUAUGAACUACUUUUGAAGUUAUUUCCUUGGUUAGAGUUUGUUUAUUAUUGAUUUAAAGUUAAUCUAUUUCAGUGUAAUUAUUUUUAUUUACGGUAAUUAUUUAUUUUAAUUUCAAUUUCUCACACCUCCGAUUUAAUUUUUGCUUGGAAGGAAAUAAAUCAUCCAAUCUCUGAGGAGACGACCUUAUUCACCGUUAUAUCUAAAUUUAAGUUUUUAGAGUAGAAAUUUUAAUUUUGGUGGUUUGACAUCCAUCAAAUUUUAGCACCAUUGUUGGGGACUAGUGCCUUUUCGAUUUAUUUUCUUCAAAAUUUUUAUUUUUAUUUUUCUCUUUUUUUUAACUAAUCUAUGACUGCUAAUAUUUAAUAUUUUGAUAAUAGAUUGGAUUUUAUUCUUAGGAGGGUUAAUGAGAUUCGUGUCUCUUCUAAUGAUCAAUAUUUAGAUACACUAACCUUUCUUGUGAAAAAAUUGGAUGUUGUAAUUUGUGAAAUUUGUUAUGUUUUGAAUCAUUCAAAUCGCAAGUUCCUCCCCCGCCCCGUUGCCAUUCCUUUAGCGCAAGAGAUCUUCUGUGUCACAUCCUAUCCCACUUCUUCUAAUCUUGCCAAGUGUCUCUUGAUAAACUAAAUUCUCAAACAACCCAACCUGAACCAUGUUAAAUUGAUUAAUCGAUUAAUCGGGCAGAGAAACUUAAUCUCUAUAACCAAAACCGAUUAAAAUAAAACUAUUUCACAAAAUCACAAUUUAUCAAGGGAAAAAAGCCCUAAAACUCAGUUUAACAUCUGGCCUCUCGUCAUUUUCUUCAUCAUCUUCACCAUUAUCUUCCAAAAAUCACUCACAAUUCACACACACAAAUUGAUGAUCCGUUGCGCACAAAUUGUUCAAACUUGAAACAGACAAAUUGAUGAUCCAAGUUAGACUAUCUUUCUCACGCCCACAAACACUCCCGCAGUAGACUAUCUUUCUCCCCCAUUCACACACAAAAAUUUUGUAGACUAAAAUCUAGUAGGAAAAUUCAAGAUUUUUUAGAGGAACCCAAGUUUUAUUUUCCUUUUUCCUUGGUGGGUUUCUUCGAAUACCAGAUCUUCUUGUAGAAUAUAUUUAGUUUUAGUGUAAAUUUGUACUGGGUAAUGGGUACACAAUUCUUUAGAACUAUGGGAGAAGUAACAGUCACAAUUCUUUAGGCUGUGGAGUUGUUGGCGGUGCAAUCUGGAGGGAAGCCCUGAGGAAAACGUUCGGCAUCUGUACAAUAAUUGUAUAUCUUGUAAUUCUGCUGCACCCAUUUCAAUCUAGCUUGACUAGUGGCAUCAAGUUCCUGAGAGAACCAUGGCUUUGUGGAGUUUGAUCCACAAGAAGAUUUCCCAGAGCUCCAUACACAAGCACCGGCCUUGAAAUUUCUCAAGGAAGCAGUAAAGGGAGACUGUGACCAGUCAGUCUUGACAAGGCCGCCUCCUGUGGCCCAGUCUUCUGCAUCCCGUAGACUAGUGUAUACCUUCAUCGGCUGGUUCUUCGGAUAUGGAAUCCCCUUACUUCCAAAUUCUAAUGCAGGAAAAAUCUUCAAAUUCCAAAUCAUCUUGGUGGGUUUAUUCAAAAUUGCGCAACGGAAGUUCAACUGGGUUUGUUUCAACGGUGAAGAUGAUGACGAGAGGACAGAUGUUAAACUGAAUUUUAGGGCUUUUUCCCUUGAUAAAUUGUGAUUUUGUGAAAUAGUUUUUAUUUUAAUCGGUUUUGGUUAUAGAGAUUAAGUUUCUCUGCCCGGUUAAUCGAUUAAUCAAUUUAACAUGGUUCAGGUUGGGUUGUUUGAGAAUUUAGUUUAUCAAGAGACACUUGGCAAGAUUAGAAGAAGUGGGAUAGGAUGUGAGACAGGGUGUGACACAGAAGAUCUCUUGCGCAUUCCAACAACAAGUGCCCCGUAUUUCAAGAUGAUAUGAGUACUCCAAUUAAUACUUUUGGAGCUUUCCCAACCCUGUCUCAAAUGUGGUAUAACCCUUAUUCAAUCAUGUAUAAUUAAGAAUGGUGAAACAACUCCAACUUUAAUUAUGCAGCAAGGUCAAUAGGUUUUCAAUAGCAACAAUCAUCAUCCACGUCAAGUAUGUCUUUUGAAAAAAUUAUUGAAUUACUAGAUACUAACACAUAUCAAUUUCAACAGGAAACAUAUCGAUUUCAACAGAAGACAAAAAUAAGAAUUAGAAAUUUGGCGGAUCAAAUGUGUCCAUUAGCAUCUAUAGUGAGGCAAUUGGUUUCUCCAAUUUGUGAAAAAUUGCCAUCACUGACCAUUAUCAACCUUAAAAAAGAUGAGAGUGUAAUUAUCCCAACAAGUGAUAAAGAACUACAAGAUUCUCAAGAAGAAGGAUCUAAAAAUGCAGCUGAAAAGAAAGAAAUGAGACUCCAACAUUAGAUUGCUCUUGUGAACAAAUCCAAUGAACAAUUCUCAAAUGUUGUGACACCUCCUUUAUUUCCUAACGAACAUUCUCCUAACUCUUAUUCUGUGAUUUCUAUUACGGAGAUUGAUUUUGUUAUAUCAAAAAUUUUUGAGUUUCAUAGGAGAAGGAAUAAAUUAGAAAUUGCAAUGACCAAAUAUCUUGAAUUGAUAAUUACUCAUGAUGGAGGAGUGAGUGAAGAAUUAAAAUCAGUACUUACUUGUUUUGAACCAUCUACUAGUCAAUAAAAGAAAAUAACUCAUAUGCUUAAAGAUUACUCUAUUUACGAAAGUUAUCAGGAUUACAUAGAGAAUGAAACACUGAAACGAACUAUAUGAUUUUUAUCCUCCUUGAACAAACAUGAUAAUAUCUAAUAAAAAAUAUUAAAGAAAAGCACUUAUUGAGAAACAAUCUAAUUAAUUUUUAGUUUAUUUUUAUUACUUUUAUUUUAGAUUUCUUGUAUUUUAUGCGUUUAAUUUUAAUUUUGUUGUUUUACUAGACAAAAGACUACUACGAGACAACCUAACUAACUCAUUAGUUGUAAAGACGUGUUUAAAAAUUUUAGAAGAUUACUGGACAACAAGACGUGCCCAUAUUUAUGAGUUGUGAUGGCAUUGAUGAGUUGAAAAUGUUUAAUCAAAAGAUUCCUUAUAUUUUAGGCUUGCCCGCAUCUAAAAUGAUUGAAGAAUUUGGUGGCUACUUUGCUUCCAUUGGUUUCACCCCACCUUUUGCUCCACAUCCUUAGCAGUGAGGUGCCCUCCUCCAUGUGCAGGAAAGUUUCAUUGUCCCUUUUACUUCAUCUUUUGAUAUUUAUUUCUUACAUUGGGAGCAAUGUAAGGAUCAGAUGUGAGGAAAUAGUAUACUAGUAAAGUGCAAGUGUAACCAUUAUGACAUUUUUGUUGAAAUUUUUGUUUAAAAUUUUCAAAUUUUAUCCAAUUUUUUGUCAAAUUUUGUGCAUUUUUGUGGUUAUUCCUGAUAAUCAGUGGCUAGAGUUUCAAAUCUAACUAUUGUUAAGGUUUAUGAACUAAUGUGUUAAGUAUGAUGUGGUAAGAUCUAAAUGUGUCUCUCUAGUGAAUAUUUGAGAUUUUGUAACUUUUACAAUUUUUGGUUAAAUUAUUUAGGCAUUGUAAAUAUUCUUUUGGCAUUUUUCAUGUAAAUUGGUUCAACUAUUAAUCUUAGUUCUCUAUAUUUAGAAAAUGAAGUGGACUUGUGUGCUUUUAAUUUUAUUUUGGUACUGUUUGUGAAUUAUAUUUGGCUAUACUAUACUAGUUAUCGUUAUCUAGUAACUGAAAAUUUUCACCACAAGUAUCGACUUUCGAGUCAAAAAAUAACGAUAGUCAUGAGUAUGUGGAUCUUAAAUAAUGAGAGUUGAGUAAUGGGACUCUUUCAUUUCAUAGAUGUUAGAGUUUGCGUCAAAAAAUUUGAUUGGCUAAUGAUUAAGGAUUCUUCCCUUGAAAAGAAAAAAAAAACCUUAAGUGUAGGGAUAUUUUAGAAAAGAAAAAAAGUUGUGCUAAUAGUGAAAAGUGAAAAAGUGCAUAUGAAAGUAAGAGUAUGGGAGUAUGGGAAUAGUUAUGUUAGCCUGCUGAUCCAAGAGUUUUAAUGUUGAGAUUUUAUUUAAUAGUCAAAUCAUUUGCUAAGGAAUGAUAAUUGAGUAUUUUAUAUCCUUAAAUUAGUUAGUCGAAAAUUAGAAAAGUCCCUAGUUUUAAAAGUUAAUCAGAAAGAUAUUUCUUGAAGACUAACCACUAAUGCUUGAUAUACGUAUUAAUUGUACCUUGGCAAUGAGUGACUUAGGCAAUGGUCAUUGUUUGAACUUGAUCGCCUGAUUGGUUAUUCUCAUGCUUGUGUAGGUGUGGAGGGAAUUGAUAGGGUGCGUAAUUAUUAUUAAAUUUAUAAAUAUUUUUUCUUGAUUUUGGUCAAAUAUUGUAUUAAUUGAUAGAUUCUACUCAUAUUGGUUAUUGGUAUUAAUUGUGGAAAAGUGGAAAAAAAAAGUAGUUAAAGGAGGCAAUUUUUCGAAAGACUGAACUAGUUUAGCGUGGGUGCGAUCAAGACAUGUCAAAUCUGGGAAGCUCGGAAUUUUUCUUGUGCGUGGAGGCUUCCUAGUUCGAGUUGAACUCCGAGCAGAUUUUGGCUAAAAAUUUAGAAAUAUCUUUAUUAGUUAUAGUAUUUGAUUAUGAAACAUGGGAUAUUAUCUUUUGUGGUUUGCCUUUUUCAAUUAGGAAAUGUACUUUGUUUCUUUAAUAGCUACAAUUUAGGGGAUAAAACAGGAAGAGGGUCCGCUGGCUAUAUUAGUACACUAGUACUUUUGAGGGAAAAAAAGAACUUUCGCUCGUGAUUGAUUAGUCUCGGUAGGCACAGGAAACAAAAGCUAUCUUCCUUUUUGGUUUCUUAUCGUGGAAUGCCACGCAACUUUUGUCAAAAAACUUGCUUGAAUUAAUCUAGUUAAUGGAUAACAAAGCAUUUGGUUCAAUUACAAGUAUGAGAUCUAAUUGUUCUUAUUUGUUUCUUUUAUUUGUUAAUAUUUGUAUGUUUUCUGAUUUAAUUUCUUAUGAUUAUUUUGUUGUUUGAACAUCAAGAACCCGAUAUUUAAUUCAACCUAACAAUCUAUUGUCAAUUAAGACAGUUAAAUCUACAAUUAUUUAAUUAUUUUAAAUUAGUGGUGACUAACGUGAUUAGUUUCAUAUUAGGGCAACAUAUGGUCUAAUUUAAAUAAACCUGGCAGCAUGUUUAUUGAUUAGAACCGAGUCUUUCUAGUUUUUAAUACAAUCAAAAAAUCAAAUUCUAUAAGCGUACCUAGAGUUGUUUUUUGAUUAGAGAAAUAAUUUAUAGGCGUACCUUAACUAUCGAAAAAGUAAGGAAAUAUUGAUUGUCAUCACGUGUUUGGCAAUUAUAAUCUAUUUAUUAUUGAAUAGAUGAAAUAAUUAUUGUAUCAAUAAGCAAUUGUAUGAACCACUUCUAAAGUUAUUUCCUUGAAUAGACCUUGUUUAUUAUUGAUUUAAAGUUAAUCUAUUUCAAUUUAAUUAUUUUUAUUUAUGGUAAUUAUUUAUUUUAAUUUCAAUUUCUGAAACCCCCAUUUAAUUUUUGCUUGGAAGGAAAUAAAUCAUCCAAUUUCUGAGGAGACGACCCGACUCAUCGCUAUACUUGAAUUUAAGUUUUUAGAGUAGGAAUUUUAAUUUUGGUGAUUUGACACCCAUCACCCUUAAUUUGUUUCAAUUCAUUUGAUACUUUUUUCAUUGUAUACCUUUUCAGGGAAAAAAGUUGACAAUAUAGGAGUAUUUAAUAGGAAAAUAAUCUAAUAAUUGUAACUUUGGUUAUUAGUAAUCUUCCAUUUUUUAUGAUGUAGAUAACUUCUCAGAAUUAUAAUCCAUUUUUGCAUCAUAUAUCAAACCAAAACAUCCCAAUUACUCUAAUUAAACCACUAUUUUUGUAGUCUAAGAAAAAUUGCAAACAAGUUUCUGCAAAAUAUCCAUUUGAAAACUGGUCAGGCUUAUCCUAAAUACUCAAUGAAAUGGAAUAUUGGAAUCGGCUUUUCUCAUAGUGCGAAAAGCCUACAGAAACUUGAUUCUGCAAAUCAAAGGUGGCACAUAUCUGGUGUGUUGACUCUUUAAUCUUGUUAUUAGAACAUAAACAAGUUGCUUAACCGUUUUAAUAUUAGUAAACAAAGUACUUGCAGGCAUGCGAUAAUAUAAAUUAGCAGAUUCAACGAAUGUUAAUCAAUUUGAUCAAAGAAUUAGGUUCCAUAUUUUGUCCCUGGCUAUUAACUUUUUCUCAAGGAGAUUACACCUAGGGAAGAAGAUACAUUUAAAUAUAGCACGUUUAUGACAUAAUGCAGGCCUCAUAACUUGGAGGAAAUUUAAAAUGAUAGAAAAUUUCUCGAGUUCAAAUUUUAUUUGCACUGCAUUAUAAGAUGUGAAUCUUUAAUUUCUUUCUCUAUGUCAGUAUUUGCAUUAUUUUCCUCUGAGUCAUGCAUGCAUGCGUAAAAGAGAAUUCAUGCAUUCAUAUCAUACACUGAUUUUGAUAUGAUUAUGGUUUUUUUUUUCCCUCGAGCGUGUCAUCUCAUAUUCUUGACUAGAAUAUAGAUUUCUUUUUACAUAAUUUAAUUUUUUCGAGUUAAUAUAUAAUAAAUCUAAAGAAAAGUAAUCUUCCGGCAUCAACACCAUAUACUAAAAGGUAGUAUCUAAAUUAUAACUAAAAUCAACUUAUAUACACUGAUAAUGUAGUGAUUUUUUUUAUACGAACAGUUAUGAAUAUAUGUUGCAUGUACAUAAUUUGAAUUGAUGUUAUGUAACAUUAAUUUAAACCUAUUUGUAUUAAAAAAAAUUGUACAUUCACGGCGUAUGAAAAGCUUACUCUUAUAACUACAUCACUUCACAAUGCUAGAGAAGGAGAAUAAUAUUUUCUUUUUCCUCUGCCCUGAAAUACAAAAUUGUCAGAAUCCAAACGAAGAAAUACCACCGACUAUGCAAGAGUGAAUUUAAGUAUUUAACUCAAGCCUCUUUCUCCCUAAUGUAUAAGGCUUUAAUAAUGCAAUACUUAUCAGAACUUCGUAUUAUUAUACUGAUGACUAUGUAAAGUUUCCAACCGUCCAUGGCCCUCUAUUGGACAUGGGGUUCCACCUCCCACAAGACAUUGAUCUGAACAUUGAUCAAAUAGGGAAUAGGGAAGAGAAUAUUGAGUUGUUCACUUGUUUGGUGAUAGAAAUGGGGCCAAUCUUGAUUUUAUAUAUCUCAAAGAUGUGGAAUUUGGGGAAAUAUGACAUAUAGUGAUAGUGAUGAAAUUUUUUUUUUUAGUUAUUAGUCACCAAAGGCUAAAUAAAAUAAAGUGGGGAUAGAAAUGUCUAAUGCCUCUUGGCACCAUGACUUGUCUAGAAAGCAAAUGUCCCAAUAAGGGAGUGGUCCAAUGUUUUACACCAUCAAAGGGAAUAGAGAAUCACACACAUAUAAGAUGGAGAAUGUAUAAUUAGGAAUCAGACAAUAGGGACUACUUUGUUUCCUCCACCAACUAUGGAAGUAGGAAUUUGUUUCACUCAUGUCUUCAUUUUUGUUUUCUAUUUUAGGUGGCAAUGCUUGUGUACAUGAUUAAUAACAGGUGUGAUACUUGGCAGAACUAAAAAUAAGCUGAAUUUGUUUGUUCACAUACUUGGCCACAAAAAUCCUCUCAACCCAAUAUCUUAUUAUUAUUAUUAUUAUUUUACUUUUUUGUGCACUGAUAUUUAGGAGUUAGUUAACUUAAAAAUUGUAUUAAACCUAUACUCCUCGAUUACAAAUCAUGCUCACUGAAGAUAAAAAUCAAUAAUCUGAAUAAUGCUUUUCUAUAAUUAUUGGUCCAACGACCACCAGAAGGUCUUUAAGUCCCUCCUGGGAUGCUAGUUGGGGGAUCAUAUCCUGUGCUAGGGUUGUCAACGAGUCGAGUCGAGUUAAAUUUUGGCAUAAUCGAGCUGAGUCUUGACUUAAUUUUAUCGAACUCGAACUCGAGUUCGACGAGUUGACAAUUUUGAAGGUUGGGCUCGAAAAAAUAAAUAAAAUAAUAUAAUAUUUUUUCUUAAUAAAUAAUAAAAUAUUAAGGAUAUUUAUGUAAUUUUACUAUUACAAUAAAAUAUAUAUAUAUAUAUAUAUACUAGAGCUCACGAGCCUAACGAGUUUAAUAUUUUGAGCUCGAGUUCGAGCUCGAUUUUGACUCGAUCAACUCGAGCUCGACUCCGGAGCAACUCGAUUCGUUUGCACCCCUAUCCUGUGCUAGCAUCAAAUGUCAAGAAUUAUUGGCUUUUAAAAUCCAGCAGGCGCCUUAGUGCACUCGACUAGUUUAGAAGUGUCUUAGUCAUCUGUGGAACCUCAAUGGCCCCGUUGGACCAAUCUCCUUCCCUCAUAAUAUAGAAGUAGUGUUGCUAUUGACAAAAAAAAAAAAAAAAAAAAAAAGGAAUGACGCUCUUCGAUGCUAAUCAAACAUGUGAACGACCCUUAAUUUUACAAGGAUAAAUUGUCAUCUCCCUGAGAAAGGAAAAAGAGACUGCUAUCAAGCGUUUUCCAUUAGAUAUAACUAGAGGAAAAUGUCGCGUAGUAGUUUAGUGCCUAUGAUCAGACAUGGUUAAUAAUUACUAUUUGGUGUUUUAUAGUACACAAAUUAAAGUAUGAUAAUUUUAUUAUAUGAUAUUAAACAGAAAAAUCAUAAGUUAUAUACUUAGUCAAAAAAUAUAAUGUGCAACGAAACAUAAUUAUAAAAUACGAUCAACCAUUUUGUAUCCAAACCUAAUAAAAUAAAAGACUUACUUAUAUUUUCUUCUGCACUUUAAAAAUAAUAAAAUCUGCUGUUUAGUUUGAAUUUGAUCUUGAUACGAGAACAAUCCACCGCAUUAUCUUGUCAUAUAAGUAAGAUUUGAAUGAUUAGCAUAUUUGAAGAAAUCAUUGCUAGUGGAGUUUCAGUUCUUGCAAACCAAGUUCUUGAAUUUAUAUUAAUUCUAAGGACAUAACGUCACGAGACCUCCACAUUGGUCAAUCAAUCAAUUAUGAUUUAUUGUAUGAUUUAGGAGAUAUAGCAAAGCAUCUCCUUCUCAAUAGGGGAUUACAAUCACGAAACAUUAGUUUUUGAACUAGUUGCAAGAAUAUACAAUAACUAACUUGCUAAUUUAGAGGAAUAAUUACCUCUAAAAAAGUACUAAGGGUGCAUUUGAUAAAACUAAAAUUUGAAAACUGAAGUCUGAAAUUUGAAAUUUAAAGUCUGAUCCAUUAAGCUAUUGAAUUGUUAAAUAUUAAAUAUAAUAUAUUUGAGUGCAUAUCACAUUCAGUGAAAAGUGAAUAGCAUAUCACUUAAUUUGGGAGCAAAUUUUGCCUAAAAAUUUAGUGCAACUUAAUUAAUUUAGAUAUUCAAUUUUUGGUUAUCAAAUCGUCUGAAUAUGUUAAAAUCUGAUUCCAUUAAGUAUAAGUGUUGAAUUUGGUUAUCAAACAAGGCCUAAGGCAUCUUAAUCUAUUCAAUUCAAGAAAACAAUUAAAAGUAAUGAAGUGUAUACUUUAAAUUUACAGCAAAAUAGUUUUAAAUAGAUGGUUAAACCUAUUGACAAACCAAAUGAAUUAAAAAAUUGCCCAAAUGGAAUCACCAAUAAAGUAGCAAACAAUUUGAAAAUUACCGUAACUAAUAGUUAAAACAACAAAAGAAGUAGAUGCGGUCUGUAAAUGGGAAAAUUUAUGAUGUUAAACUUACCUUAAACCACCAAUAGCAAUUAAUAAAUGUGACUUCCUUCCUAUCAAGCCUGUCUAACAUGGACAAUUGAAUUAAAAUACUAAAAAAUUAUCGCACAAACAACUUGCAAGAUUACAGAUUUCUUACAACUAAAAAGUAGAUUGGCUAAAGAAAACAUACCUAUUGAGAUUUCUUACAACCAAAAAGUAGAUUGGUCAAAGAAAACGUGUAUAUUAAGAAAACUGUUACAAAAUGGGGAAGAGGGUAGCUAAUAUAGUAAGAUCUGAAUUUAAUAAGUUGUAUAAUUGUUGUGGAACAAAGUUGUAAGUAAAUAAAAUGAAUUUGAAUAGAUGGGAGUUACUGUUGUAAUGGCCAAGAAACCAAACUUCUUCACUAAUUGGCAUUAAUUGUGUCUUAACAUCUAUAUAUCACAAGUUUGCAAAUAACCAAUGAAAAAGGUUUCAAGAAAUUAAGACUUGGAUGCUAAUAUAAUUAAAUGAUUAGAAGGGCUUUUAUGUAAUUUCACUAAAAUACAAACUGAAUUUUGUUGUACCCAAUGCUCAACUGGACAUUGAACACUGUCACAUAUCAAACUUGUCCCUAGAUUAAAAUGUCUUAAAGGACAUCUAAGUAAUUACGGUAAAACCAAAUUAAUUAUAAUAAUUUAUACUCAAUGCUCCAAUUGCACUGCAAACACUUUAGCAUUUCCAAAAUACUUCCACCCUUGCAAUUGAAAUUUUUUGAAGGACUUGCAAUUCAAAUUUAAAAAUCAUCUUUGUCCUAAACUCAUUCUUACGUGAUACAAGGAUAAGGAAAUGCCUAAUUUGUAGCUACAUGUUUAACCUCUUAGUCCGAUCCGUAGAUGUUACGGCUCUCACCUUAAAUUAAUCAACACUGACAUUGUAUAAGAAAUACUUUUGAGUCAUACAAGAAGUAUUGACUGACACACGAAAAGAUCCAAUAUAAUCGUAAUAAUCCUAUGCUAUUCAUAUUGAUUGCAUGCUAUCAAGUAGUUGAGUCAUUUCAAUGGUUUGUUGAUCUAUCUUUUUCCAUUUGUAAUCAUGUUUUUGCUUCUAUCCUUUGACAAAGAAGUAACAUAAACUUUCCAGAAGUAAUCUUUUAUUAUAUUGUUAAAUUCUGUAAGCACAUUUAGGCCGAAAAGAAAAUCAGGAAGUAAAUACCAUUUUAGAAAUUUAUUCCCACACUGAUCAUCUAUAUCAUCUAUGAAUUAGAAAACCAAGUUUUCUACCUUACUGCAUCAAUAAACUUUGGAUACGUGGCAUGAACUUGUAAAGUCGUACAUAGAUGCCAUAUUUGAGGCAUAAAUAGACCACUUGGCAGGGGAAAAAAAGAAGAUGAGAAAAACUUAAGCAGUAAUUUGUCAUUAAGCACAUCUAAAGCAACUAUAAAAGUAGACCACCAUAACUUCUCUUUCAAAAAUCCUUUCAAAACCUGUUUCAGGAAAGAAAAAAAAAAAAAAGAAAAGGGUUGGGUCCAUUUGAGAGGUCGACAUUCACAUAUAUAUUAUUGGUUCAUAUCUUGACUUGAAAGGGUUCAUUAUGUGUAAUUGCUAGACCAUGAAUAGAUAAUCACAAACCAGUUCUCUAAUUGGAACACGAAGAUUGAAUCUGUAGAAGUGAAGGCUAAAGAUUCUUCUAAGUGGGAAGUAUAAGUCAGGAGAAGAGAACAAAAGCAAAGUUUAACCCCUGUGUGAUAAAUUAUCCAAUUUUCUUAUUCUUUUUUCGUUUUCCAAGAACUGUAACCAGAUUCUUGUCCAAAAUGGAACCACCCCUACAUCAUCUUGCCCAAGUCAUCAAUUUGGACUACUAUAUCAUCAUCAUAGGAUGACAUAAAAGUAUGACUUCGCAUCCAUUUGAUGGAAAGCAUUUUCGCACAAGAUUGAGGGUUUUGUGAGGACCAAAGAUCUUUUUUUUUUUUUCUCUCUCUUUUUGACAACCAAAUCGGAACCAAUUUAUUAAAUGGUUUUGAAUUAUAGAAUCAAUUUAUUGCAGAAAAUUAUAGAAUCAGGGGCCUCCUCCAGCCAAACAAGUAAAGUUUUGAGACAUGAAAGCCAAUCUAAAGUCUAAACUAAGAGGCUUAUUAGGUCAGGUCCAAGAAACUUAAAAGUUGAAACCAUAUAUUGAUCAGCAACAAUUUUAAGAGUUUUUCCCUCGUCGAUGGGGGUUGCUUGAGGGAGGAAGAAUUCCCAGAAACAUUUAUGCUGGUGUACAACUCUUCCUGUAAAGUUCCGGAAUCCAUUUUCCUUCCUUUUCUGCAAUAAGAAUUACAAAAAUAAGAAGUAGCAAUGGAACUUUUAUUAGAUCUAUAUUUUUCCUUGACACUGGAAAAAAUGAGCUGGAAUUUUACUUUUUUUCCCUUUUUUCUUGAUGAAAUACUAGAGAUCUUAUUGAUGUAAAAAUCAGCUUUCACAAGGAGGGUUAGCCUGGGAUAAACUUACAAGAGUACUCCACAAUGGCUAUUCCUUCAACAAUACUUUGUAAAAUUAAAGUUAGGUGAAAUUAAAUUCGUGAAUCAUGCUAUAUUUGGGUGUUAACUGAUGUUAGUAAAUGUGGAGAAGAACAGUGGAAUUACCUAGUUGAAUAUUAAGUACAUAUUCAAAGAAAAACUAGUUUAUUAUUUAGAGGUUCCACUUCAGAAAAGUGAAGUAUAUAUUCUUGUUGAUGAUGAUUCAAGGCUCAGACACUUGAUCUAAGGCUAAGACACUAUUAAUAUGUGAAAGAAACAAAACUCAAAAAUUGUUUUAUUACCCCUUUUUGUUUUGUUGAUGGUAAUUAACGUCUAAUUAUGUACUCUAAUUCUCAAGCAGAAGGAUUUUUUCAUAGGCUACAAUCUGUCCCGCCAGGUUUGGUUUGUGCUGGAGAAAUUGUUUCCUGUUGGUCCAAUGCAUAGAUCAUCGAAUUGCAAAUGUACUUAAAGUCUUGAUGACCUCAAUCAGUCAGUGACAAGAACAUUUAAGCAAAUCAUCCCUUCUCUAAUUUGUUGGGAGCUGUGGAAAUGAAAGCCCAAAUUAUAUGUUUCUGAGGAAGAAAAAGGCCAAACAGGAGGGGGAUCAUUGCAGCUAUUUUUCACUAUUCCUGGAGUGGUCUAUUUGCUUUCCUUUCCUUGGAUCAAAUCCAUAACUAAUAAAAAGAUUAAGUCUGUGUUGGAAGGGAAGUAACACAAUCACAGCCUGGUUCAAAGAGCAAGCAAUUUUCAACGGCUCCAAAAAGUUCUAAGACUAAUUUUACAUAAUUUAUCAUGUAAAUUAUCAUAAUUUAUAAGACUAAUUUUACUUUGCACCCUCGAACUUGUAUCACUUUGCACACUAAACUUAAAUUUUUAACACUUUGCACCCUAAACUCUUAAGUUUGUUUGAUUUAAGUCCAAUCAAUGACUACAUUCACAAAAUUAACAAGAUAAAAAUCAGUGAAAAUUAAUGAUGAUGUACUAUUUUGUUCUAACUGUGACCCCCUUGACUUUUUUUGACUACUUUUAGUACAUUAUCAUUGAUUUUUAAGGUCUCAAUUACUAAUAUUGUUAGCAAAAUUUACAAGAUAAAAGAUUGUAUAAAUUAACGAUAAUGUAUUAUUUUAUUCUUGUUAUGAUACCUUGGCAUCUUUUGGUUAUAUUCGCACAUUAUCAUUGAUUUAUUAGGUCCUCUGUUUCGUUAACUUUGCUAAAGUUGUCAUUGAUUAGGCUUAAAUAGGACAAAAUUGAGAAUUUAGUGUACAAAGUAUUCAAAAUUAGGAGUUUAGAGUGCAGAGUAUUCAAAAUUAAAAUUUAGAUGCAAAGUAGAAAAGUAAUACAAGUUCGAGGCACAAACUGAAGUUUGUCCAAAUUUAUUACUUGUGACUCAUGAAUCGUUAUAUAAUUUCUUAUAAACCCCUUACAUUUAGAAAACUAUACAGAUUUAUGAUAGUUUGAAUUUGUCGCAAUAUUGCCUAUUAAGAGGUGAAUUUACCUAUUAAUCCUACUAUUUUGAUCAAUAUUUCUAAUAAAUCAGAAGGGGAAAUUGAUCAAAAGGUUUUCUACGCAAGGGAAAAUUGCUUAUUUGAAUCAAACAUUAGUCUUUUCUGCCCCUUUUAUCAAAUAAGAUUUUGUGCUUACAUUAUUGUGUCCAGCAGAAUUUUAUACUGAUUAAUCACAGAUCAUUUUUAUCAAGUGGUUGAGGAAGCCUUCUGCCGUGGAGUAGCUUUUAUUUCUGUAGUUAGUCUCAAUAAUAUGAGAGUUGCUACUUGUUGUUCCAUUCAAUUGUUGUCUUAGGGCGUUUAAUCUCACCAGUCUGCGAGCUGUAAUUCUAUGAAUUCAUCUCAAUGUUGUUACUGUGUCUGUUUUGAAAGUUUUUAAUCUUGUGGUUAAUAUUACUUUGCACCGUUAAAAAGUAGUGAAGCAUGGGAGUUGGGACAAUGUGCACUUGCAUUUCCGUUUGUGAAAAUCAAGACCUAAACUCUAGCUUAAUUGAAUUAGAAGUUCAACAAAGUCUGAUUCCUUAACUCUAAUUGCAUAAUCAAAAGAUGAUUUUGAUGCAUUAAUUGGACCAUUAUGUAUAUUAGGACUGUUCUGCGUCAUAAUCUAGCAUUAACUUGCUACUGAGGUUCUCAACCUGUAUAAAGACUGGCACGAAAAUAAGCUCAAACGCUAGAUUAAUAGCAAAGAAAAUAACUUAGGCUCCGUUCGGAUUAGCUGUUACUGUAGCAGAGUUUUUAGAGUAUAUUUUUGGAUAUUUUUAGAAAAUAUUUUGGAAUGUUUAAGAGUAGGAGAGUUUUUUAAAAUAUAUUUUGGGAUAUUUUUUAAACAUUAAAAAAAUUAGAGUACUUUUUAAAAAUUUAAACAAGUUUUUCAAAUAUAAUAAAAUUUUUAAAAAGUACUUCCAAAAGGUAAUCUAAAAAUUAAUUUAAAUUUUUUAAAAUUUUAAAAAAAUAUCUCAAAAUAUAUUUUAAAAACUCUUCUACUCUUAAAUAUCCCAAAAUAUUUUCUAAAAAUAUUCCAAAAUAUACUCUAAAAACUCUGCUAUAGCAAAAUUUUUCAAAAACACCCUAAAAAACAGUUGAUUCAAACGGAGAGUAUAGUAUUUGAAAAACUGAUUUAUAAAAAACUGAAAGAUCCAAACGGAGCAUUAUGUAUUCACUAAUUCAACCAAGUACUUGAAAUAUUCAGAAGGUCUAAGUGGGUUCGAUUCGACCAAUACCAUUUGGGUCGGGCAUUGCCCUUGAAGCCAUGGUCCCUUGCAAUGUUUAGAAUGUAUGACAUAAUAUCUACCUGAUAUACAGCAAAUGAAAAGUAAUCUGGCAGACUAUGAGAAGCCUUUAAGCACAAGUAGUACAAUGACAAUUUUGACUUGUUGCUAGACGGGUACACAAGAUAACUUAGAAGCUAAAUUGCCAUCAAGUAAAAUAAGCCUUGAGAGAUUUUCCACAGCAUUGAUACUCAAAACUGGUGGCUCCACUAAAGAGAGCAUAUGAUGUUGGUUGCGAAUGAUCCAUCUAUGACAACUUUGAUUUCAAACGCAAAUGAUAUUAGGAGCAGAGAAAAGUGAUAAUAACAGAUCCAUAAUCUUGUAAGAGUUUACUACUUCAAAACCAAGUAACUAGGUAGUGCUGAGCUUUAGGACACAACUAGAAGGGGAACUACCAAUUGGUUGGAGACUACAAGUCCAGAACACUUAAAGAUGGUACGUUACCACUUUCACCAAUGAUGAUUUAGCAGUCCUUAAUCCAUGUAUAAAGUACGAAUUGCUGAUUUCAUUGUCAUGUAACAAUACACUUUCCCCUUGAAGUGAGAGAGGGCCAUAGGAACGCAAGUCUAGUCUGCAAACUUAAUUUACUGAGUCCACAAUAUUUGUUGAGCAGUCAAACUAGUCGGUCUACUCCACAAAGGCACAACAGAAAAAUCUACUCAAAAGUUCCAAGCAUCUGAUCAACAAAUCUUACAGAUGCCCAAUAUUACCUAACCCCAAGUCUGAUUAACAUGGUAAAUCAUCUUACUACCUCAUUUAUUACCCUUUUAAACCAAACGACCUGUAUCAAACAGCAGAAUUCAAUUGCUCGUUCCUCCAAAAAAGGAUCUACAUUGUCCCUCCAACCCGUCUAUGAGAGUGUAGCUUAGUCUGUCAUUCCCUGAGACACUCACAGAGAAUGAAACAUUAGUAAAAGUAGGACCUGCUUACUGUUCUGCCUUUUCUUGGCCCCUAGGAGCCGCGAUGAGAAUGCAUUAAAAAGAAAAUGACAAGGAGAUUAAUAUAUUCUGUCAGUGACCCAACUUUUCAGCUUAAAUGAAAUUCGAAUCUGUAGUGAAAGAAAGCAAAGGUAAAAUUAGGGAAGAUAAAUUGUUUCUAAUGUAAGUCACUUCCCACUCUAUCUAUUUCAAUUAUCACCCGAGAUUCAAAAUUACUGUCCUUAGAACUUCCAUUACAGAAGAGGCACUAAACCGUUUGCCACAUCUUUUCAGUUUAAUAGCUUUGAAAAAAACAAGGUGCCCCUCUCCGAAAUAAUCCUUUCAAUCUUUUCCUUUUGAAUAAAGUCCCAAGCACAGUUUCUUAAUCAGCAACAACUCAAUUUCUCCCCAUAUAACGUGAAGACAUACACCAAGAAGGACAAAAACUGCAUAGCUUCACCACAACUUGGGUAUCCUUUACUAAGAAUGCUGAAGUCUUAAAAAACAAAACAAGAAGACGGGGAAUCUGCAUAUCCAUGCCAAACAUUAUUCAAAACUUGAUAAGAUAAGUUCAACUAAGAACAUUACAACUACCAAUUACCUAAUCAUGUCAAUGAAGUUCCACCAUGACAGAGAGACGAAAGAAAAGUGAAAAACUUACCCAAAUCCAACAACCAAUCAUGAAUUUCUGCAUACUUCAGAUUAUGUUAUUGAACAAGAAAUAGCAACCUUCCAUUGCAUGAUAAAAACUGAAAUGUUGUACUUGCAACCAAUCUACUGCUAACCAGCAUUAUAUUACACUUAAUAUACUUAAACUAUAUGCCCCUUGACAAAGCACCCAUUACUACAAGAAAAUCAACAAAUAACAAUCAAGCACAAUGGUAACUGGUAACAACAACCAAACAUAUUCACGAAAUGGCUGACGAAAUGAUGAAACCAUUUUCAAUUUCAAAUUUCAAUUUUACAAGUCUUGUAGCAUUACAAAUAAAAAUUAGGAAAUAUGACACCAAAGAAAGGAGGAAACACCAAAAUCAAUUUUUAUUAUGAGGACAAUAAUAACAACAUACAAUGGUCCAAUCCUCAUUAAUUAAUUUCAAUAAACAAAAAAGAUACUGGUACAACAAUAGAAACAUUCAGUUCCAGCAUGAUUAUCAUGCCAUUACUUCAGUCCUUGACCAAUAAAAAUUGCAAUUCAGACACCAAUAAAAAAUUAUCAUUGCCAAUUCCCGACUCCUCCACGUUCCCUAAGGCACUGCUGAGAGCUGAGCCUCAAGCAAGAAACCCGGCAAAGCCAUCUCCAUUUCCAGGGACACAUCAAUCCACCGCACUCAGUCUUUUCACAGCCAUUUCCUCAAAACACUCCCAAACCACCAAUUUUCCAACCCUUUUAGCAGAAAAACAGACCUGAUUUCCCCUCCAAACACCUUAAACUUACUCGAAUCCUGAAAAAGCCUAUACAUUUCUGAUGGCAUUCGCCCAGCCUCGUCCCACUCUAAACUCUCCAAAUCCAACCUCAGGAUUCAAAAUUGUCGAACACGCGCUAUGCAACGAGUAAGAACUCUUCAAUCCACCGAUCAUGAGCACCUUAUUCUUCCUCCACUAACAAUCUAGGCCGCUUUAUUAUAUCAAACACAUCGCCCCACUCGUGCUUCUCGAGCCGACUCCAUUUCUGGACCAACUGAUCCCUCUGUUAAUCACCAUAGACUUAAACAGCUUCCACUGAGAUCGCCAUGGCGAUCCCACAUCACAAAGAGCAAGUAUAAAAUUCUCAAUCAAAACAGGGCUUCGCGGCUUGGAAGGUAGAUUAGACGAAUACUUGAGCCAAGAAUUGCAAGUCGAGUACAAAGUAGCUAGCUCGGUAAGAACCAGCACUUGGCUGGGGCCAGCUCCAAUUAGAACGAACCGUGGCGCGACCAAGCCGAGCCCAGCUGGGUAAGGCCUUGAAUUGCCUCGUCAAAGGGUUGCAAACAAUCAGCAUUUUAUUACUGAUCGGGCCGGGAUUGGGAAGAACUAGAGGACGAAGCCCAGAGAUAAAGCAGGCCAUGAGAUGAGGUGAUGGGGAGGAGGGAGGGAAAGGGAGGAAGUUGAGGAAAUCUGAACCAUCUGUCAGACAAAGGGUCGAACACGUGGAGAGCAGGAUGGAAGACAGGUGGGAAUGCGAUGGGAUCGGUGGAAGGCGGAGGGCAAUUAGGGAAAGCACAUGGGAUUGGGAACUGGAAAUCAAGUGCAAGAAUGAUGGAGAGAAAAGAGCGGUAUACAGGACUUACAAACUGCUCUGCAGAUGAUCAUCUGCGGAGUGGCAGGGAAGAAAAGAUCUCUUGGAGGGUGUCUAGAGGCAACCGAUUGGUGGGAAGAUUCCAUCCUCUUUUGCGUUUCUUCUCUGGGUUUUCUUGGGGGUUUUUGGGGGGCGAGGCGAGCGAGGAUGAUUUUGGAGUCAGGUGGAGUGGUGGGCGGCUGUGGUGGUGGUGGGAUGGAUUUGGGUAGUUGGCUGGUUUAAUGCGGGGGAAUUUUGCUUGGGGAAAUGGAAAUGGAAAUGUGUUCAAGGCUUUUAAGGUGGCAAAAGCGCACGGUGGAGUGGAGUUUGGAGGUUUUUGUUUGAUGUGAGUGCAGGAAAUGGGAGUAUUUGUUUGACUCUCUCAAGACAUGUUUUGCCAACUGCUAGAGGAGAGGAAGGGAAUUUAUGCUUAGUUUGGGAGAUGAGAUUUCAGCAGAAAAGAAAAGAAGGGAAGACAAACGUAGGUUUUUCCCAUAUUGAGUGUUUUAGUGAAAUAGAAGAGGAGGAAGAGACCCACUGCCAAUUAACAAAAUUUUCCAUCCCAAAACGGGCAGAAAAGAAAAGGAAAGCUACGAAAAGGCUGCAACAAUUUUUUAAAUUGCUCGUUCUAUUCUUGAAAAACUAUUGAAUGGAUAUCUAUUUGACCAAUGUUUAAAAUCAUCUCUUUCUUUUAUAAACUUUCAAACAACAUUAAAAUCUUUUCUCUUCUUUUCUUAUCUUUUCUUGUCUCUCUAACUUCUCUCUUUUCUUUUCUAUCCUCAACUCACAAACAAGCUAUUAGGUUCUUCGACCUUGUCUGCGAGGGAAAGUAUCAAUAGUAGGCAAUUUUUGGUACAACUAUCAAAUUUAUGUUUGUAUUGUGAAAUAUCAUUUUGUAUUUCUCAUUGCAUGGAAAUUUAGGCUAUUCUUUUUUUUUCGUGUUUACUUUAAGGAUAUAUUGCAAAUUCAGUGUCACUCUCGUUUGAGUAGACAAAAAUUCCACUCAUGCAGGUCAAGUUUGAGUAUUUAACCAAUCUUUUUGUUACCGUCCUUUGUAACUCAUAUUUUCAUUAAAUUUCAUAUAUUCGUAUAUGUCUAUAUUUUUCUUGUCUUAUCAAUUUUUUUUUCCUUGCAAACUUAAAAUUUUAUCGUGUACCAUAGAGAAAGAAAAAAAAGAAAGAUAAAGGUUUGAACUUGAAUCAUCAAAUAAAGGAAAAUAGGCCUUAAACUUUAGGAAGGAAAUAGAAUGAGUUGUGAGCAAUUGUUUUUGGUUAAGAAUGCUAUCAUGAAACAAAAUCCUUAUUAUUCAUGCCUCUUGUCUUAAACCAACCAACUCCUAAAGUGCAGAUUUCUCUUGUCUUCAUUCUUCUUGCAAGUGCUCCAUCCAAACUAGGCCUUAAGUUUAUAAUUGUCUAUUAGUGGGAAUAAAAUUAGGAAUGCCCCAUGUGCCAAAUGGUUGCUUCUUGUACAAUGAAUAAUCUUCUCGUUUGGGUUUCAGUUUGUAGUUUGCCCUGGAGUUGGUGAUUGGAUUAUUCCAAUGGGUUGAAUAUGGGCCUUGUGGGAUGCGAAUGGAUCAGGUCAUGGUGGACUUGGCCGGUCUUUUUAAUGUAUUCGAUUUCGGAAAAUUCUAUGUUUUUCUAUAAAACAAAAGUCAAUAUUAUUAAUAAACUACUUAAAAAUCGUUCGGCACGAUUCGCUUGACAAAAAGAUUCGCUUGACAAAAGAAAGCAAAGUUAAAAAAUAAGAAAAAUUACUUUGCGAAUCACAAACCAUCACGUCUCACGAAUUGCACGAGGUGCUCCAUAAAUAUUUAUGCAUCUCUAUUCCCUCGUACGCGCGUGGUAUCCAAGUGAGUCAAAUUCAAAAUUGAUUCUUAAAUAUUAUAAGAAGACUCAUAAAAUUCUAAAUCGAACAUAUGAAGGUGUAGAAAAACUCUUAGAUUUGAGAAAAAAAUAACAAAAAAACUAAAUAAAACCAUAUGAACUUGAUUAAAUGAAUUAGUCGUCCUGACUAAAACAUCGUGAUUCCCUUCUGUCUUUGUCUUGUUUUCGGAUUUUCCAAGAUGAAUCGCCCGAAGUUUAAAUCAAGGAAACUAAUCUCCAGUUUUGGUUGAUAGAAAGGUAGAAAAGAAGAAUUUCUUGUGAAACCCGAACUCUAGGCUUUGGUAUAUAUCGAAGUGCCACAUGUACUUGCAUCUAAAUAUUGUCUUCUUUUGGUUUUUUGCAAUCGGGACGUUUUGAACUAUAAUUUUUUUUUAAUAAUUUCUUCUAUUGUACCAUCAAGCCCAGCCCUUCUUCCAAUAUUUUCAAUUCUUAUUAGGUAAACCCCAAAAAAAAUUACAAUUUCAAUUCUAGAUCAUAUCUUACACAAAAAGGCAGGAGUUUUUUUUUUUUUUUUAAUAUUCAAUGGAGACUUUAAACCGUAUAAGAAAGCAUAUGAAGGCUUGAGAAUUGUCUAUAAAGACAGUAAGUGUGUUUGGAUAGCCAAAUAAUGGCCAAAAUUUAUUUGCUUACAUCACAAAUACAAUUUCCAACACACUUUUUUAUCUUUCUAAUUACUUUUUUAUCUCACAUACAUCAUAUCACAAAAAGUGUUACAGUAAUUAUUCUAAAUAAUAUUUCAAAUAAUCUCCUAUCCAAACACACCGGUACCGGUCCGACUUCUAUUAUUUAUUUGGGUAACUAAUUUGAGAAAUUUAAAGCCAUAACAUGUGCUUACAUGUUUUUGUCUAUGAAAUCGAAGAGUCCAUAAACUUGCACCAACGAUUCGAUCGAUAGAUGUGCAUCUUCUUUUUUUCCCCCCUUUUGGUCCUAAAAACGUAGGAUCCCUUUAUGUUUGUGAAAACAUUUUAUGCAGAUCAUUCAACUUAAUUAACUAAAACAUCUGCUUGAAUGAAGGUUUUAUGUACAAAACCAACCAAGCAGCCAAGUGGAACGGAAAGAGGCUCAACAUCAAAUGAUCGACAAGUUAAAAGGGUUUUCAAAAGUGAAUUCAAUCCUUGUCAAAAAUCAUAUUGUAUGAACUUCCUAAUUAAUUUGCACUUGCAUUAGGUUAAUUGAAACUCAUUUGUGUUGUCUUUCUUAUUCUAAUCCUUCUUUCAAGUGUUGUGCAUGUCAUUAACCUCUCUUUCUCUCACUUUGUUGAAAUCCUUUCAAGAAAUAAAUUUUCUCAAGCAUUUAGGGUUUAGUGUACUAUCUAGUGUCUACCAUUACGAAUAUAUGCAAUAUACUAGAACCCAUAGUGCUAUGAAAGUUCAAGAAGCAACUUUUUCAAAAAAAAAAAAAAAAAAAAAAAAGCUCAGGAAGCAAUAAAUUUGUCACGUUACACAACGAGUUUUUUUUUUUUUUUGGUAAUUUUUUCAAAGAUUUUAAUGUAGGAAUGUCAUGAUAAAGAUGCAAACUUGGAUAUCUGUACACUAAACUUGACAUGGUUAUCAAUAAUAUCCUUAGUCAAUUACAUUGGACGAUAUCCAGCAAUCUCAUUAAUAAAGUUUCUUAUUUUACAAAAAAAAAAAAAAAAAGUAUCAAUAAAUUUGAUGUUGGUAUGCAUUGGGGUUGAUUGCAAUCACAGUAGUGAUUAUAGAAUGCAAUUUAUAGUGGGGAUGAACUGAUGCUGAAUUGGAUAAAAUUGAGUUUGGAAUACAAAUCUUAAGUAGGAAAGUUACAACCCGCUGAACGUGAAGUUGUGGAGCCUUGGAGCAAAAUUAAUUUGUCCUCAGAAAACCGAGAAACAGUAUGAAGGGCAUGUGCAUAUCCUAUUUUCUCUUAUUCAUUUUUUCUUUUCCUUUUCUUCAUCAGUUGCAUUUCAUGUAAUUACUUCUCAUAUAUAUAUAUAUAUAUAUAUAUAUAUAUAGACACACACACGCAUAUAUAUAUAUAUAUGUAUGUAUGUAUGUAUGUAUGUAUAUGUAUAUGUAUAUGUAUAUAAUAAUUCACCAUGUGGCCAUAUUUAUUUAUUUUUUUUAACUUCAGUAGAUUUUAAGUAUUUUAUUUUUUUGUAACAAUCCAUUCCAUCUAUUUAUUUUCACCCUUAUUCACCUUUUUUUUUCACUUCCUUAACUAUCUCAACUUUCAGUCAAUUUAUUAAUUUUUUACUUUAUAUACGUUUGUACUUUGUAUUAAUCAUGCUUUAUGAAACCUUUUUAUUAAAAAAAACUAUUUUAUCAAUCUACUCAUUAAUUUUCCAUUUUUUAAUUCUCUUAGAUCACAUUUAAUUUUCUAUUCUUAGUAUUUGGUUUGAUAAUAUAUUAUUAUUACUAAAACUUGGACAAAUUUCAUUCUUUCUAUAAUUCAGUACAUUUAUGAAAAUUUCGAUGGAUCUAUUAAUUCAUAGUUUUGACACAUAUUUUAAACAUUGUUUAGUUCCUCCUCCAAAAGAUUGGUUUAGUUCCUCCAAAAGAUUUGUUAAAUUAGCUAUUUUUCACGUUUUGCAAAGUGGGAGGUCUCUCAAGCGGCCAAGUAGACAAAGUUAAUGUUCCCUGGUGAUUUUUGUUCUCUUUUUUUAAACAAUUAAUUUCAAUCCUUUUUACUUAUCAUAUCUCACACACACACAUAUUAAAAGUUUUUUGGUCAAUUUUUAGUGUUUCCAAUGGUUAGAAGAGGGCACUUAGAGUUUUUCUUGUCGUCAGGUUUAAGAUUCAAAUCUUGUGCAUAGUAGGUAGGGAUGGAAGGGUAAAAAAAAUUUAAGUAUUUUAUUUUUUUGUUAACAAGAAUCACUCCUUUCUUCUUUUUUGCCAACUUCUUUUCCUUAAUUUAAAUGUUGUGUUAACAUUUAAUUUGGGCAGGUAUUAAGUGAUUUAUUUUUGUUCACAAUUCAAAUUUUAAGUGUUUUAUUUUUAUUGACAAUAAUCAAUCCUGUCUUUUUUUUUCAUGUGCUUCUUUUUGUUAAUUUCUGUACUUAUUAUGUUUAAUAUUUAACUUGGCUAGUUUUUUUUGUUAAUUUCAUGUGCUAGUUUUUAAGUAUUUUAAUUUGGGUGAUAAUUCAAAUUUUUAGUUGUUUAUUUUUUUCAACAAGAAUCAAUGCCUAUUCUUUUCCCUUAAUUUCUAUAUUUACUUUGUUUAAUAUUUAAUUUGGGCAGGUCUUUGAGUGCUUUGUUUUGUUCAUACUUCAACUUUUAAGUGUUUUUAUUUCUGAAUAGAUUCAAAAUCAUACGACAAAUUUUCCAAAUCAUGAACACAUAACUAUUCAUUAACUAAUGUGACAAAUUCAAUAAUUUAACUUUGACUUUCAUUCAUAAGGAUCCAUUUCUUUUUUCCUCUGAAACAAAGUUUUACUUAGAGGUGUAUACGAACCGAGUAACUUGCGAGCACGUUUGAUUGUCCAACGAGCCUUAAGUGCAUGUAGAGUAUUAUAUGUUCGAUAGUUCGUCGUGUCUUAUUAAACAUUAAUGUAUAUAUAUUAAAUAAUUAUCUUAUAUUAUAUGACUUAAAAUUGCACAAGUGUUCAGAAUUUAUUGAGAAAUUUCAUUUCUUCUCUUCUGUAGUACAACUAGUUUCAUGGGCAUUAGAUUCAAUUUUAUCCCUUCAAAAAUCUAAAGGAAUACAAAAAUUUCUAGCUUAACGAUCGGACUCAAUCGAGUCGAGUACGAACUCUUUGACAAUCUCAUCAUGUUAAGUUCAAACUGUUAUUAUUUUGCUUGAUCGAUCUCGAGCACAGCUUUAAGAGUUGAACUCAUUUCGGAUCUAUUACACCCCCCUGGCUUCACAUCAAUAUGUUCGUAUUUAUGUCCAGGCCACAACUUGUAUUUUCCUCCUAUUUAUUUUCGUGCCCCACACUUUACACAUAUAUUGCUCCUGCCUCCUCCACCCUCUUACGUGUUCGGCUCCCGUGUCUCCUCCCCGCCGGCAUCUGCAGUUGGAAGCGACUACACUUUCUAAGAAAGAACGAUCCGGUGGCACAGAACGGGGACGUGCAUCACGUACAAAGCCACGUCAAGAUUCAAGAAUCUAUCAAACGUUGGGUCCACGUGAUUAAUUGCUUUUCCACGUAGGACCGUCACCCACGGACACCUUCUGAUUUCUGACAGGGUGCGAGAUUCUCCAGCCGUCUGACGUGUUAACGCCUUAACGCGUAAAGGCGGAGACGCCAAAUUUCACUUGGUACCCUUGAUGUUUGGUAGAACCGUUUUAAAUGUUUCCCACAUGUCACUAAAUUUUGUUAUUUAAAAUCUAUAAAAUUUGGUCUCAACCUAAAUUUUCAAUCACCUCUUACUAUAAAUCUAUCAUGUGACCCCAUAUGAUUAUUUUUUAGAGCAAAGAUUUCAUUUAUAGUUGAAUAAAUGAUUCGAUCCAUAUUCAAUUUUGCGAUCAGAUAAUGAUUGUUUUUUUUUCCUUAAAAAGUGAUAUCUGACCAAGUCCAUAUUCAUUUUUGUCAUUAAAAAAGCCUUUUUGUACUUAAAAAAAUGAUUAUAUGUGGAUCACAUGACAAUUUUAAGCUAAAAGUAGUCAAAAACUUAGAUUAGGACUGAAUUUUGUUAAUUUGCAUUUGCAAGGGAGGCAAAGUUAAUGUUUUAAAAGUCAAACUUUGACAAAAUGUGAUAGACUCGUUUUGAACAAAUUUUUUUCCUGAUGUUUUGACUUUCAUCAAUUUGAACUUGAAACUUUUGUUCCUGAACUUUGUAUAUAUAAGCAAACAAAAGUGCAAUAUCACCGAAAUGCUUGUAGCCAAUAAUAGCUGACAAAAAUUAUUUUGCUUCUUUGCAAAAUAAAAUGCAUGCAAUACUACGUCUCCACACUUAAACUGGCAACCUCUCGAACUCAUUUUGCUUUUGGUUGAUUUUUUUAGAACUAAGCCCAUGCCUGACUAGUAAGUUGAAAGUAUACAUCAUCAAAGUUCUGUAUUUCGAUAUUGAUUUUUUUAGCACCAAGCCCUUGCCUGAGCUAGCAAGUCAAAAGUAUCUUUGAAGUUCUGCAUUUCGAUAUGAAUAUUGGUAGAUAUAUAGUACUCUUUCUGUCUUACAUAAAUGUCAUUUUGUUGAUAUACCAGGAAGCUUACAGUUACACCAGCAUCCUAUUAACUAUCAUCAACCACAACUAAAGCUGUAGUUAACUAAAAUUUGCAGCAAAUGUCCUUUGCAAAAUUGCAGCUUAACUAAGCAACCUAAGUUGUCUCUCGAGUUCUGCGCAUCGCGCCAAGUAGCAUGAUACAUGGCUUUGUUGUUAAAGAUUUUGCAAUUCCUUUCUUUUCAAUGCAUGCGGCACACAACUAGUGAACUUUUUUCAAUAAAAGAAAGGGCAUAACAUUUUUGUAGUACUUUUUCUUUAAGCAAGAAAUGAGUGAAAUUUAAGAAGCAGUGCGAGACAGACCGGACGAUCAUAAUUGCCUACUUAUACAUACAUAUUGAUGCUAAUACAUGCAAUGUAAUAGACCUAUCAAUACAAUAAUGACCCCAAGCACAUUAGAAUUGUCUAACUUUGCAUGAUGAUGUGUUUUGUUCUAAAGAUUGAUAUGUGAUCCCGCUGCAAAAUUGGAUAUGGAUACAACUCAUUGCACAUGAUUAAAAGAAAAAGAUCCUUAGUCAAUUACAUAUGGUACCAGCACCAAUAAUUUUGAUGUGGGUACAGCCAGAUAAUCAGCACAUGCAUCAUGUACAACAAAACCACGUCAAGAAUGUAGCAACAUUUUGGGUCCAUCAGAAUCAUCCCCUUAUCCACCAACCCUAAGGGUCUUCUACUUCUUGAAGGUUCCUGAUAUGGUAUAUUGGUAUGGUGAGAGAUUCAUUGAUGCGCAUUAACAUGUAUUAAUUAAUAAUAAUGAGUAAUCUCCCUUGGCACCCUCAACAUUUUGACCUUGACACUUGAAACUAUUGUUUUUGAAACUUUGUGUAUUAAAUCAACAGUGACUUUUUGCAUCAUAAAGUAUAGGAAACAACAAAAGUCUUCUUAAACGGUCUGUCUGUUAAGAUAUAUUUUAAGUGUUAUAUAUUUAAAAUAUAAGAUUAAUUAGAAAAAGUAAAUAAAUACAAGGGAGAGUAGGUAAGAUUAAAUAGGGAAAGUAUAUAAAUACAAAAGAGGAUAAUAAUUAUUAGUAUGUAUAUAUAUAUAUGAUAGGUUAGGUGAAUGUUAGGUAUGUUAACGGGUGUUCUAAAGAGUACCCGUUAGAAAAACCCUUUCUUAAAAUACAAUUUUGGCAAAGCAUUGGAAAAGAUUUUUUUUUUUUUUAAUUGAGCCCUAUUUUUUAACUAGUAUGAGAAUCCAAAUGGCAAUAGAUUCUGAGAACUUUGAACGCUAAUUGACUACCAACCAAAAGUUUCUUACUCCAAAAUCAUCAAGAUCGGUUCUCCAACUACACUUACUGAAAUUCCUGCUUUGCCAAGCUCAUCCUACUACUUGUGUCUCAUGAACAAUAAGCAGAAAAUAAAUACAAAGAAGAGGGCAUACUAGUACUAAAAGAAACAGAACAAUCUCUAUUUCAGAGACCCGGUUGUGCUUAUUUAAAUGGAUUGCAAACGAUAAGUUAAAGGCAUUCUUGGAUGUUUGUCAUAGAAAGACGUAUUGUUGCAUAACUUAUAGAAAUCUAGAUCCCCAUGUCUAUAGAUUUUUUUUUGCCGCAACGGUAAUAUUUUUAUAAUUUAAUUUAUCCUAUUUUACAGAAAGGAGGAGUCCAAUGAAACUGUGUAAGGGACCAGUAGAUGUACAAAUCCGACUAUACCAAAGGAGUACUCGGACCUAUAGUCCAAACAGAGAUUUAAUCUUUUUUUUUUUUUUUGUGGCUAUUGAGCCAAAACUCGGUGGUUAUAUAGAUUCUUUCUUAGGGAAUUGAAUUUCGGUGGAGUUUCAUGUCACCCUUCAUAUGUUAACAAUCAGCCAUAAACAUGCCUAGACCUUUGAAGCUGUCCUUGUGGUUAUCAUGGCAAGGCCUAAGAGAAGCCUAUUGACAUUGGAUAUUAGAGGUUAAAAGAAAAGAAAUAUUAUGAAUAAUUCAUAUUUUUUUAAAUUGCAUAUUAGUCCUUGAGAAAGAAGGCAAACAUUACAAUGACCGCGUCGCUUGAUUAAUCCAACGUUUGAAAAAUUGUUAUAGACUUGUAAUAAACUUCUCAAGUGAAGUACAUGAAAGGAAAACUUUUUAUCUAGUGAUCCUCCACCUAAUAAAGACUACUUAAUUUGUAGAAAUUUUUGCAUAUGCGGAAAGUGAUCAUUGGUGAAGUUUGUGAUAGACUAAAAAGGAAAAACAUGCAAAUGGUUCUUUUUGAAUGACAUUAACCCGGACAUCCCUAUGUUGACCCGGACACUCCUGUGUUGAUAAAAAAAAAAAAAAGAAUGACAUUAACCCUUUAAAAUUUUAUGAAUGUGAAGGUAGCAAGUUCUAUUGAUUUAUUGAAUUGAUAAAGAAACCUCAUUUUGUAAAACAUUCAAGCCUAAACUUUAUCUGUAAAUAUGAUAUUAUCACUGUGAUUGUAUGGACUGAUUAAUUGUGCAAUUGUUUUAAGGAAAAAAGAUUGAUUGUGACACACAAAUUUCAAUUAAUAAAUAAAAUUUAUUAUGUUUUUAUACAUUACAAUCUUAAUUAUAUACUAACAGUAUAUACACUAUUAUGAUUGGAUAUACGAUAUAUAUACAAAAUUUGAGUUUCAAAAUUUAAAUUCAGAUUAUGUAUAUUAUAUAUCCAUGAUGAAGUCAGUAUAUGGAAAUUAAUCGAUGUUUUUAUACAUUGCAAUAAUAUAUAUAUAAUAUAUAUGUGUGUGUUAAUCUGUGUGUUAGUAGUUAUAUUUAUUCUGUAAGUACGUCCAUUUUAUGUUGCGAUUGAAACUAACAAUUGUACAAACCAUAAACCAUGAAGAACAACCCGAUGAAUCUGCAAUUCACCAAAUCACAAAAACGAAAAAAAACAAAAAGUACUCCUCCUCCCAUUAUUAGGGAAGAGAAUUAUAGAAAUGUAGCACAGACAAAAUCUCAAAAGCUUCCCAUGUGAUAUGGUCCACGGUCCACUUGACGAGUUGCCGCGGGCACAGGUCCCCGAGUGAACAGCCUCAAUACGACAGUUUCAUCAAACUGCUAAUUUUAAAAAAAUUUAGCAAAGACUUCUAUAAUAGAACCUUCGCCGUUCAGUUUUCCAUCGUCUUGCUCCAUGCUGCUCUAGCCUUCAGCUCCACCUUGGCUCUUUCCCGAUUCCCCCGCUAUUUCUUCCAUAAUUACAAACUAACCCCAAAAGCAGAUUCUAUAUACACUCAGAUCCUUCCCCAACAAGGAAACAAAAAAAAAAAAAAAGGCUACUCGCAAAUGGUGGGAAGCUCUACGGUAGGACUCGGAACGAUGUCAUCUGCUCCAUUACCCAACGGAAAAUCAGUAAUGGAGGAUACUCAGACCGUAAGGGACGUCGAUUACUUCGAUCCAAUGGCGGUGGUGUCGGAGCCUGUCCCGCCAGUGGCUGUGAGUCGGAGACGGUGGUAGUGGAUCGUGAGAUGCUGAGGGGGCCGAAGUCAAUGGAGACAAGGCGGAGAAGAGAGAGAUUGUCCUUGGACGGAACGUGCAUACCACUUGCCUCGCCGUCACGGAGCCGGACGCCGACGACGAGUCUACCGGAGAUAAAGAGGCCUACAUGGCUAGUGUCUUGGCUCGCUACCGUAAAACUCUUAUUGAAAGAACCAAGCACCAUUUAGGUACAAAUGUAUUUUCUUUUCUCGUUUAUUUUCUGUGUUCCACUAUAUAAAUCGUUGAUCUCAUUUAGCUUUUUGGAAAAAUUGCGUGUUUUUCUUUAUUAUUUCCUCUUGAAUGAGCUAAAAGUAUGAUUUUUAGGAAAAUAAGUUGAACAAUACGACCGGAUUUAUUGGAUUCAUUUCUGAGAUUUGUGAAGCUUGGGAAAAUUGUUCUUAGUAUACAUAAAAUGCACGUGAGCUUCUAAUUUUAUAAUUUUGUAGUUAUCCGGAUAAUAUAAUGUGCAGAAAUUUACUCGUGAUUACUAGCUCCAUGGGAUUGUUGUGGACAGGCGGAUGACAAUUUUAUUUAAAAUCAGUUGCAAAACUUGGAAAAUCAAAACAUUUGCUUUUAAUUUUGUUUAUUCAUAAACUCUAAUAUAUUUCAAAAGUCACAAUUUAAUUUCAGAAGCUGAAUCUUAAUAUUUGCUUCUUAGAGUCAGCAUUUUUUAUGCUUAGAACAAGGCAAAAAUGCUACUGAGAACAAAUUAACCUCAAUACAGCUUUAAGCUGGAAAGAGCUAUAAAUACUGGAAUUUGAGCUAAUAAGAGCGAGCUAUGUCAGGAAGCUCCAAUUGACAAGUCCUUGCCAAACCUGGAAUUGAAUUGGUCCUUUGCAUGUUGCAGAUUCUUUUUCUUUUUUGAUUGGUGUGUUUUUAGAUUCUAAUGCUGCUAUUUUUUCUGUAGAUUCUGAUAAUUCGUCCUUUUUGUGAUUUAUAUACUGGUCUAAUGUCUCAUUUGUCUUAUUUUCAGCGUACAGUUCAUACUUUUCCUUUUACUUUUUGGUUUUCAUGUUGUCUUCUUUUGGUAGAAUGUGCUGUAUAUAAGAUAAUAAAGGAGACCCAGAAUUUGUCUUCGCAUGUUUGUUUCAAAGGAUUUUUUUUUUAUACACAAUUUCUUGUUUUGAGGACAAAUAGCGAAAGUGAGUUUCGACCUUCACAAGCCUUUUCUAUUGGCUUUGAAGAGGGCCUCCUUUACAUUUCAUGGAAAGUUGAUAAGCAUAUCUUAAAUCUAUUGCAGGGUAUCCAUAUAAUUUGGACUUUGAUUAUGGAGCUCUUGCUCAGCUGCAGCAUUUCUCCAUUAACAAUCUUGGAGAUCCUUUUAUAGAGAGCAACUACGGCGUCCACUCAAGACAGUUUGAAGUGGGUGUUUUGGAUUGGUUUGCUAGGUUGUGGGAAAUUGAGAAGAGUGAAUAUUGGGGAUAUAUCACUAACUGUGGUACUGAGGGCAAUCUUCAUGGAAUCUUGUUGGGUUAGUACUGUUUAGCUGAGCUUCAUGUCUAAAUUUAAUGUGAAAUGCUUCAUCACCUGCCCUGAGGAUUAUUAUGACAUGCUUGUGAAUGCUCUUGCAGGAGAGAAGUCCUUCCUGAUGGAAUUCUGUAUGCAUCAAGAGAAUCUCACUAUUCUGUCUUCAAGGCAGCACGAAUGUACAGAAUGGAAUGCGUAAAGGUGGAUACCUAGUCACUGGCGAGAUAGAUUGUGCAGAUUUCAAGACUAAGCUGCUUGUUAACAAAGAAAAGCCAGCGAUCAUCAAUGUAAACAUAGGUACUCUCUCUCUCUCUCUCUCUCUCUCAUGGUGCGCUCUCCUGUGUUCUGGCCUCCCCUCUCCUGACUCUUGGACUCACUCAUAUGGAAGUGGGGAAUAAAAAGGGGGAAACUGGCCAACAUCCAUCUUCAGCAUAUAGCGAUUGGCUUUUUGAAUAAUUCAUUCUGUAUUUGUAGGAACACGGUUAAAGGUGCUGUUGAUGAUCUUGAUCUUGUGAUACAGACUCUUGAAGAAUGUGGUUUUUCACAUGAUAGAUUUUACAUCCACUGCGACGGAGCUUUAUUUGGUCUUAUGAUGCCAUUUGUAAAGCGUGUAAGCAUACACUUUUCAUUUUAAUCUGCCUUUGUCCAUAUGAAUGUGAAUUCCCACAGUUCGCAAGGAAAUUGUCCUGAAACUUUUGCUUAUUUUAGCUUGGCUCAAACAUAAUCUGUAGAAGCUAUAGCUGGUACUUGAGUCUGACUUGAAUUCUAAUGUCAAGCUGAAGCCGAGUUUGAGAUCAUGGCAGACAGAACGAAGCUUAGUUUUAAUUUGUAAACAAAUUCAUUAUUCAGCUCCUAAAGUUAUUCAAGUGCAGCAAUUUAUGAUGUUAUACACAAACUUCUGCACAUAUGAGGUACAUGAAGGCAUCUGGAUACAAGAUCUAUCUAUUGGUGCAGACACACUCCUAUACAGAUGAAAAAAAAUAAAAAUAAUAUAUGCUGUAGUCUGCUUCUGUCAACAUGAUCAUUCAAAUGGUAACCUUUAAGUUUAAAAAUUAGUGGAGUCGUUCUCUUUUUGAAACUGAAUAUUUGGUGCAGCAAUUUUAGAAGUAGAGCUUAGCAUAAUAAAAAUUUUCUCCUGUUUGUUCACUUAAGAUUUUAGUGCUGUUGUGGACUUAUUACACACUCUAAAGACAUUCCUUUUCAUAUAAUUAAGGGAAAAGAAAUAAACAAAUUGUGUUAUCUGCCAUAUGUUAGUGUAAAAUUUGAUGUUCAAUCACCCCUGCGGUGGUAAGGGUUACAAAAUUUGCUUUUACUUGUAUUGGUAAACAAAGGUCAGAGAGAGAGCUACUUGGAAAUGGGAAAUGAUGGAAAACCUUGAAACAAUCAUGAUAAAUCUUUUUUAAAUUCAGUAUGUUUAAUUAAUUUAUCAUGACUUGAAUAUUUGGCACCAAUAUGAAGUUGACAUUGUUCCUUUCAUGUACAUGGCUAAGAACUAGGUCCACAGCGAAACUAUGACUGUCUUCCUUCUCGUGAAACAUGGUAUCUACUCAUAGAUUUCCAUGGAUGUAGUUAAUUAACCUUAUUCUCUAAGUGAAACUGAAUGCACAUUAAGUUGAAUGUCUCUUUAGGUAAUUAUGAUUGGCUCAUUUUCAACCUGCAUUCCAAUAUCAGCUUUUUUACUUUUUUUUUUUGACAGGCACCAAAGGUAACUUUCAAAAAGCCUAUUGGAAGUGUAAGUGUUUCUGGCCACAAGUUUGUUGGCUGUCCAAUGCCAUGCGGUGUGCAGAUCACUAGGCUAGAGCACGUCAAUGCCCUCUCCAGGAAUGUAGAGUAUCUUGCUUCUAGAGACGCUACGAUAAUGGGAAGUAGGAAUGGCCAUGCUCCAAUCUUCCUGUGGUACACCCUUAACAGGAAAGGGUACAAGGGCUUCCAGAAGGAAGUCCAAAAGUGUCUUAGAAAUGCUCACUACUUGAAGGAUCGCCUAAGACAAGCUGGAAUAAGUGCCAUGCUCAAUGAGCUGAGCAGCACAGUUGUAUUUGAGCGGCCACGGGAUGAGGAGUUUGUUCGUCAGUGGCAACUUGCUUGUCAGGGAAAUAUGGCACAUGUUGUUGUGAUGCCAAAUGUCACGAUUGAGAAGCUGGAAGGCUUCUUGGAUGCAUUAAUGAAGGACGUUCAAUAUGGUACAAAGAUGAUAAAGAAAGCCUCCGUCUUGCCGCUGAGAUAGGAAGUGGGAACUGUUCCUGUCCUCUUCACAAGUGAAACAUUUGAUAGGACUCUUAAAAGUCUCCUUAGUUGUUUGUCUUCAGCAGUCACUUCAUUUGUGUAAUGUUUGUUUGAACAUGGCAGUAUAGCUUGUAUUUCAAACUGUAUUCAUUUUAAUUCUACUUUUGAAUAUCUAGGAGUGCUAAAUCUGCUUCCAUGAGGGAGAAAGUUGACCUGUUCUUGGUUUUUGAUCCUUCCACCUUUGAGAAGAUGCUUCUUAGAACAAGUGGAAUGGCGGGCAGUUUGAUCCCUUUCUAGCCAUUGGACAAAUCUAAUGGAUUGAUAUGCCAAAAAUUUGGCUACUUACGAACCCUUCAUGGAUAAACCCUAAACGGGAUUGUUGGAUGCAUUACCCAAGACACCAAUUUGCCAAUAAUUAUUAAGAGGAAUUGUAUGUGCUCUAGCAUGGUUGUUGAAGUAGACUGAGAUAAUGCUUAAACGUUCAGGACAAAAAUAUGCUUACAUGAUGAAUGCCUCUUGUUGGUCUGGAAAUCAGAACAUGCAUUCUUCUAAGGAGCGCUGCCAAUGUGCUACACUUUUCUUUAUUUUUUCCUUUCUUUCUUAUUAGGGGGGGAUGGGACUUCAUAAGCAGGGACAGGGUCGAGGGAUUUGAAGCUCAGAACUCCUCAGCACUUCUAAUGUGACUUCAUUUAUUCAGAAUCAGGUUAGAUGAAAUGGCAAGAGAUGGCUCUUGAUAAAUCCUAAGCAUACAUACAUACUGUAUUGAGGCUACACGAUUGCCUUCCAUUAUUGUUUGCAUAUAUUAAUACAGUACUUUUAUUCUCAGAGCAAAGCAUUCGUAAUCCCAGCUAUUUGAUUCAUCCUCUGCCACUCGAGAGGAGGCUUUCUUACCAUUUCUCUUUGUAAGCUUUUGAGUCCGAAUACAAUGCAUUUCCUGCAGUAUUCUUCUGAUUUUUAGUAGGCUUUAGCUAGGUACUGGCAUGGAAGAUUGCACUACAGUGGUUCAACCAUGAUUGGAUACUUGUUUCUUGGCAUCCGGACUAGUGUUGGCAUCACAGAGUCGUCUUUCUCCAAUGGUUUCCAUCUGCAACAGUGCAUCAACAAGUCAGAAUAUUCUGCUAUAGCGUCAAUAUGAUGUCCUAUACAGGACUAAUGCAAUAAGAAAUUAUUCUGGCUAUCUUAACUAUUAGAAUAUAGUAAUAUUCUAUGUUUUGCUUAUACGCUAUGGUUUUCAAGUUCUUGAUUUGAUCAAAGAACUACUUGGAUCUUCUUCUGUCUGCAUUCCAAUUCCUUGUCCUUCUACGUGUCUAGCCAAGGAUGCUGCAACACAGUGCAAAUCAUGGUUCAAAGUCGCGGUCGCGGUCACGGUCGCGGCCGGGAACGUUCCACAUCGGUCUCGACAUAUCGGUCACGGUCUCGGUGAGACACAAAUUUUUAAAAUAUUUAAUAUUCUAAAUUUGUAAAAAAUAUGAUAAACAAAAAUAAUUAAAAAUUAAUAAAAAUAAUAAAAAUUCAAGUUGACUCGGGAUGACUCGGAGUGAUUCGGUGUGACUCGGCCGUUUCAACCCUUCACGGUGACGUCUCGGCCUGUCACGUAUCUCGGAACGUUUCGGUCGCGGUAUCGUCUCGGCCUAGGCCGAGACGGAGACGGGUCUCGCCGAGUCUUCGAACCAUGGUGCAAAUGCUCUCUCUCUCUCUCUCUCUACGUUGAAUGUUUCACAAUUUGUUUUAGAGGUUCAUCUUACUUGAAUCUGCAGACAAGGUGAUGAAUGAAAAUGCAAAUUUCUAUCUUGGCGAGGUUAAUUCCGGGACACAUUCGUGGUCCACUGCCAAAUCCAAGAAAGCUGAAAGGCUUCAAUGGCUCCUGCAAUUUAUCAAGAACUUAAUUUUGUUAACAAAGGAUGAAACAAGAAAACGGCUAUUUUCUGGAGACAGAAGAAACUUACAUCAAAUCUUGAAGGAUCAAACUUCUGAGGGUCAGGAAAAAGCUUCGGGUCAUGAUGAAUGGACACUACAUCCAGGUUGACAGACCAACCCUUACUGAUUUUACAUCCUAAAAUUUUUUGGAAAUUAGGAAGACUGAGAGUAUCAAAUAAUCCCGUCACUGGGCAAUAAUAGUGCCAGAUGUUAAGGGUGGUGGAUUCUACCAUCAACUGUGAAGUCUUCUGCUGCUGUUCUUGAAAACCAAGGAAGAAUUGUGGCUAUUCGAAGAGUCUCGCUAAUUACCUGAAAUCAAAAGGCCAUGAGCAUUUAGCUGGAGAAUUUUUUUUUUUUAUUUUUUUUUUGUUUUAAACAAUGAAAUGUGUUUGAAAUGGAGCUAACUUUGUUUGUGUAAGGCAUGUUGUUGAUGUCCGACCAUGUAAGACCUGAUCUGCUAGCUUGGAUUUCCCUAUGCUCUUCCUGUAAAAUGACUUCUUAGAUUCUGUUGGCAGCAUUCAAGAAAAGAUGGAUUUUGUUCUAGAAAGUCAGGGAUUAUUACUCGUAGACGUUCCAAUGCAGCAGGGUUUUGUUCAAGGAAUUUUACAAGCCAGGUCAGUGCAGCAGUAGUAGUAUCAUGCCCAGCUACUAGCAGGGUCAAUAUAUUGUCCUUCAAUUGUGCAUCUGUGAGUUUAUCAUCAUCUUCUCCUCCAUAGCCAUGCUCGUUAUACUUAUUCACUAAGGAUUCUAGGAAAUCUUGCUGGAAGUUGUCUCCAGUUCUCCGCUGAGCAAUGAUUGAGUCUAACAUUGCAUACAUCCUGUUCCGAGCCUGUCAAUGGAGUAAUGUUUUAUCAAUUUCUCUGCAGUCUGUCCUCUCUGAAGGCAAUCCCAAAUUGUUCUGUAUUCCAUUCAUUUAUAUCAGACAGAACUUAAUACCUGAAUACCACGGUAAAAGGCAGUUCCAGGAAUUUUCAAGGGGAGAGCAGAAAAUGACGAAGACAUGACUUUGAAAUUGGCACGGAAUUUCUCCUGCUCUUUACCAGCGGGUUCCAAGCUCAUUAUCAUAUUGCUGAUCACCUUGAGGGAGAACUGCAAAAUUUGACAGGUUGAAGCAUUUUAAGAAGAACAGACUUCAUUUGGGAUAGAAUCACAUCACCCAGGAGCAUGAACUUAACUGUAGAAGCCUCUUCAAGAACCAGGAUUUCUCGUCCAUGCCACUUGUCCAGUGUAUCAAUGGCCAAAUUAUCGAUGAACUGGAAAUACUUCUUGAGGCCAUUGAUUGAGAGGGGUUCAGCAAUCAACCUGCGGAGCCGUUUGUGUGCUUCUCCAUUUUGAUGCAGUAAACUAGUAGGACGCAAGAACCUGCCUUCCUGCAUAGGACAAAUUUAAGCUCACCAUCCCAUCUUUUCCGGUUAACAAAAUCUUACUCGCCUCACUACCAGUCAUGAAGACAGUAAGUCUCCCCAAGACUGAAGUCUUGAAUACUUUCCCAUACCUAGUACAGAAAAUCAUGAUCAUCAAUAAGAUCUUAUGCAUUGUUUUCAUAAUUUUUAACAGCAUAAUUCUGGACAGGAACAUAAGUGCAUCUUUAUAAAUCUAGUUUCUAAUGGCAUUCUUCUUUAGCUGAUUUACCUCUGCUGUCUCUUUCUGAUGAAGCUAUGUAUGCCUGCAGGACUUGAAAACUCGGUUAUAAACGAGAGCGUCUCCCGACAAUAGGCCAACCCAGCCUACCUGGUAUUGCCGCCAUUUCCCGUGGUCCAGAAGCCCAUCUUUGUAAUAAAGCUGAAACUAAAACUGUCAAUAUUAGGAAGGCUGAAAGCAUUAUUAACAUAUGUAGCUCCAUUGUUUUCCAUAAAACUGAGGAAGCCGAUAUCUGGGUAUAUAAAGGAUAGGUAUUCGAAUGAAUGACGAUAAUUCCUGUAAUAAUCGUUGUUGACAGUUUAAAGCUCCAAUCGUUGUUCACUUCUUCGAAUCAUAAUAAUUUCCAUCAAAAUUUGGAUUGACUUCUGUGUAUUCUUAUACUAAAUUCUUGCUACUUAACUUAGUGAUCAACGAACAUAGAUAGGUUCAUGCGCUCGAAGCUUGUGACACCGUAUAUUUUUGUUUCUGGAUUUUAUAUGAUCCUCAAUUGAGGGAAUGUUCAAGGACACAGUAGUAGUAUAAAUGGACAAUCCCUGAAGUUUUCCUUUGGAAUUUGGCGACUCAGUUGGCUACGAAAGGUCCUCCUACAUUCAUAAGAUAAUGAGCUUAUGCUGCUUAGAGUUAGACCAAUUGUAGAUUUUAAUGCAGGUUCCAAAAAAAACUGCUUUAAUUACUAGAUUAAUUUUCAACCAUGUCUACAUAAUUUGUCUCUGAGGAUGUAACUACAGACUACAGUCCAUCUAUGCAUGUCGCGACGUCCAAAGACUCCCUUCAUGGCUGCCGAUAGACGCAAGUUGACAGAUGGAGGAUCGUUUCUAUAGUUCUAAUUUUUCCUUUUGGACUAAUGCUUUUAUAAGUUUAUCACUGGUUAUGUAAUAACGAGGCUCAUCAUUGUUGCCGAUUGAGCACAGCAUCUUCCCUAAUGUCAAUAUAAAACAGAAAGUUUCAAUCAGUUUUGAUAACUGUUGCGAAACUAUAUUUAUGUUCUGAUUCCUUGCGUUGCUGCUAUUCAAAAAUUAUUGAUCUUGUUCUGUCGUUUGCAUGUGAUUUGCUUGGUCAAGAACGUGAGAUUUUUAACAAGGUCUAAGUUGAGGUUUGUAUGUAUGCGACAAGUUCCCAGGGCAAGAUGCCCAAUGAAUAUUCCCUACUUUCAGCACCGAAAAUUAUAUGAACUAAUGAUGCAGGAAAACUUCAACUUCAACUUGUUUUCAGCUGAUGCAUGAAAUGAAUUUUCCUGUAACAGGAUGGAAAUUGGUAUGCAAGCAAGAAACAAGCUCUGAUUCCGGCCUGUUAUGGCAAAGCAUAGACUUCUUCUACCUGCUAGUCAGUCAAUCAUCUAUGCUGAACUUCCACCUGCAAAGCCUGCUGUUACAGUCAGCGACAAGAGAAAUAUGAAGCUGAUGAGUGUCAUUAUUGUGAAUCAGUAGUUUCUAAUAGUAAUGAUGUGAACUUAUUAAUCUAAUCAUCUUACUAGUAAAAAGAACACAUACCGGAGGCAACAGAAACAGGGGAGAGAGAGAGAGAGACUGAAGUUCUCUAGAUCCUCAUAAACAUACAAUGUUGAUGGAUUUAACUUGUACAAAUAUCAGUCUCUCUCAGAGAUUACAUAUUACAGAAGCAGUAAAUUACAUGCAACAGAUUACUACCAAUAUACAACACGUUUCCUGAGUGCUUUGCACUUCAUAAUAUUUACAGAAUAGGAAACCCCGUUUCAGAACUUGAUAUCUUGGCAGACCAUGGAAAGCAAAUAAGAUAACAGCAAAUGGAGUACAUAUCUUGUUAGGUAGUUGCACCAGCUACAACAUCAAGUAUAAAGCCUGAGACGACUGGUUAUUGGCAGGCGACAAAUUGGACAGUUUGAUACCCUUGAUCCGCAGUCUCUGCAAGUCUGCAAUCAUUUUAUCAUCUCUUGAGAUCAAACAAAUGCAAUUUGUCUUAAAGCAAAAUAUAAGGAGUUAGUGCAUCUCACCAUAUGUCCACAGCCAAAGGCCAGAUUCUUCCCAUUUGUUAAGCAAACCGGACAGUCCUGCGUCCAAAAGAAACAAUUCAAGAAUACAUGUCAACAAUGUAAAAAUUUUGCCCUGCUAAUGGAAAGUCUGGAGAGUUCACAGAUAAAUUCCACAGAUGUUUUAACCUCUAUGCUGGAACCUAGCAUUGUAGCUUAUACUACUGGAUGAUGUUUAACGUCUAUGAUGUUUUAACCUCAAUGCUAAUCAGCGCUCUUGAGGGCCAUUGUAGCUUAUACUACUAGAGAAAUAUAAUCAGGAAAAGCAAAAUAGUACAAGGACUUUUAUUCUGCUCCACAUUAUUUAAUACACUUGGCAUUAAUAAAUACUUGAAGGAAUCUUAUUUAGGGAAGCAGUAUAUCAAAUCUUACCUGACUUCUUUCAUCUGGAAGAGACGCUGAAAGAUUGCUUUGUUCUCUCGACUCAAAUGUUGUACGACGAGCAUAAGGAACUGGCGGUGGACGAGGAACUAUUUUCUUUGCUCUACCUGUCACGUGACUGAGAGAGAGAGAGAGAGAGUUCUGAAGUAAGCAAACAACAGGCAAGCAUAUUUCUUGAAUGUAAUUCAUCUGAAUUCUAUCACAAAAAGCUUACAUAAAACUAUAUUGAUUCAUUUUAAUCCCCCAGGACGCGAGUAGACAUGCAAAAUGAAAUAUGGCAGUUUUAGUUCAAAUAAGUUCUAAAUGACAAGAACUACAUCGAUGUAUGGGAAGCACAGGCAAAAUAAUUGUCUAAACUUGGCAUUUUCCAGAUAUUGUACUUGUCAAAUUACAAAUAUUAGGUGGGAGAGGCUUCCUUUCUUUAUACUGUUAUGGCUCAUCAUCUCUGUAAAAAAUUUUAAAUAAAAUUUCUCAACUUAUUUAAAAUUUUUUAAGACACAUUCUGAAUGAUCUUUGAAUCUUUUCUUAUGGUCUUCAACAAAAUUGCUGCCAUAUUCUUUCCCGCAGCAUAUUAUAGAUAACUAACCAUCAGCCACACGAAAAGGUAAAGCACUCCAUACCCCAGAAGGCCAAGUUCUCUGGCUGCCUUAUAUUGGAUUGGGAUCUCCAUCAGGGCAGCAAGAGCAAAUGCAGUUUCUUUUUCAGAAGCACUUUGGUCCUUGCUCAUAAUAGCAGUAAAAUUGACAAACUGCAGAAAAAGAGACAAAUAAAGGACUUACCACCACUCUGAAUAAUAAAUUUAAAGACAAUUACUAGCUAUAUUCUUUCAGGUUUAAACCUGAAAAUUAUCGAAUUCACGAGCUGGCAGCUUGUCAUCAAACUUUUUCAUGUCCUCCCAAGGUCCAUCACCAACUCCAACAAGAAUAAUUGACAGUGGAUACAAACUGAGGAUAACCAGCAUUUUAGUAUAGAGCAUUUCAUAGUUGUAUACUUGUAUAUACCAUUACUCUUUGCCGAGAAAGAGAAGAAAAAAAAGAGCUUUAUUUUGUAUUAGAGAGAAGUUUGAUUGCAAUAACUUGGAUGGCAUAUAAAUGAGGUGAAAACAACGAGAACAACAAUCAUAACAUAUUAAGCAAACAAAGCAGAAAUAAGUCAUUGGAUCACAAUGUGGAUUAUGUGCACUAAUGACAAGAAAAUUGGAAUGAAAAUGACAAGUAAUUGUUGCCUGUUAAUCCAUGUUUGCAUACGUAGAUAGAGAUAGCUUGUCCUAGUGGCAAUUGACCAAAGAAUGAGAAAGCAACAGAGACAGAUGAGUUAUGUCCACUACUCAGUUUUCAGAUCAGAAACUCUCCAUAGCCCUUGGCCAGUAUAAAUAACCAAUAUAAAGCCAAUAUUUUCAGGAUCAGCUAAUAUUUGCUAGUCAUGCCUUUCAAAGUAAACAAGUUCCCAACAGACACAUAAUGCAGACUUCAUAGGAUAUACUGGAAAGGAGUACUAUAACCUUCCAACUCAAUAACACUAUGAAAUUACAACUACUCAGAAGGCAGAAUUGUGUUCUCAAUUCCAAAACCAUCUGUGUCAAUUGCAACAAUAGGGUCAGGUUGUUUAAUGAUGUGCAAGCUUUAAGUAGCUAUAUCAAUCUUUCACUAACUAAAAAGAUUUAUGGUUCCCCUUCCAAAACGUUGUUAAUUAUAUAAUUCUUGAAAUGAAAGACAUGCUUAAGAUUCUUUUCAAUAUAUUGCUAUAUUUAAGGGAAACUUAGUGCACGAAGCUGAAGCUUACAGUGGGUUUGGAGGAGUGAGAGUUUGAAAGUUUGCCCUUAGUGUGCAGAAGGGUUGAUUUUAUAGGGCAGAAAUGGAAAAGGUCUAAUCCAAGCAUUAAAAUACCAAAAAUUUCCGGAUAUUAUUCUGUCCUACAACCUCCUAUGCUUCCACAGUGCAUAUUAGACUAAAUUUUUGUCAUUUCAAAAUGGUUAGUCAAAUCUCUUACUGAUUAAAUUGCCAAUCGAACAUUUAAAAGAGUGAAAAAAGGCUCAGUAGAAUUUCAAAAGUUCGACAUACUGAUGCUAGUAGCAGAGAUCUUUGCAUGCUAAUUCUCAAUAGCAGGUAUCAGGAAUAAAGAACUCACAGUGAGUAUUUUCUGGAUGGAUUUGCAUGAGCCUAAAUGGCAAAGAUCAAAUUGGAAAGCAGAAUUAAAUGGAGAAUUAUGUUCUACAUCCUUCUGUACCUAGCAUUGACUAUUGAUUUGAUGGUUUUCGCUUCUUGUGGGCUGAGUUCUACAUCACUUGUAUUAACACUUCUUGUAACCUUCAUGAGCAAUAUCCAGUCACAACUGUGAAAUAAAAGAGAGAUUGGGAAUCACUGUUAUACAUUUAAGGAGAAACGAGGAGGUGACCUGGCCGUCUGCUAUUAUAACCAAAACAUGAUACUGUCCACCACUCCGCUCUACUAUGUCUACCGCAGCAUCUACUACUGGUCCAUAUGAUGUUGGCCCUAAAACACAAUUAAGAUGCUCAUUAACGUUCUUGGUUACUGAAGUCAUCACUGUUUCAAAAUAGCUCAUUUGUCUUGUGAAAAACGGAAAUUGUUAAGAAUGAAGAUCUCAGAAGAGAGUUGGCCUAGCAUAGUAGCAGUCUACCAGAUAAUUGCAGGUUGGGAGUUAUUCUCUUAUAGCAGGCUAAAACUUCUUCAAAGCCAUGGCAAGGAGAAUGAUCACUGUGAAAGCUAAAGACUUCUUGAUCAUGUGUGGUAAC
rnacentral:lncRNA from 1 species